GGGCUGCGGCAUCUCGGACAUGGAGAGCUUUCUCUCCAUGGAGGGACGCGACCGACGCCGACAACACCGAACUCCGAAGCAGCUGCUCAGAACUGCGCCGCGCUCCCGGCAGCAACGCCCGACUUGUCCCACCUGCGGCCAGAGCAGGUCCUCCAUCCUCCACCGCCGCUUCGCCCAACCUGACGCCACGAAGCAGCGGCCGCCUCGGGUUGAGGCGGGGCCCUAACCGAAGCCGGAGCCACCCAGGCAAACCCUCGCCAUUGCCGACCCCACGCGCGCCCGAAUCCCAGACGCUCCAACGGACCUUCAGUCCGGACCCGCCCGCCGAUCCAAACCUUCUUCUUCUUCCCCGGCGAACAGCGCCGACCCAGGAAGACGGCCCCUCAAUGCUCCGGAGCGGAUUCCACCGAGCACGGAGAAACCGAGGAAGGCAGCCGGCCCGAGCCCAUCAGCUGAGGAAGCAGAAGUAGCGCGGCUCGCGGAGGCACAACUCGCCGCUCACCGAGAACCGCGACCACUCGCCCCCUCGAGUCGCCAUUGCUCGCCCGGGACCAGACCACGGCAGGCCAGACCAGACCAGACCAGACCGGACCGGACCCCACCACCCGGCGGCCGAAUCGGACGCCGCGGCCACGGGGCGGGAGCUGGGCUCGCGGCGGAGGGCGCGUCGGCGCGGGCGGAAACCCUAGCGGCGCGGGGAGGGGUGGGGCUAGGCGGCCAUGGCUGGAUCGAGGGAGGGAGCGGAAGCCGAGAAGUGGUGGGAAUUUCUUUUUAUUUUUUUCCCGUCCGGGUUUAGUGUGUGUGAAGCGGACUAGCGGAGGAGGGAGGGAGGAGGCUCUCGCGGUCGCAGGGGGCGUGUAAAAAAGGUCGGUUGAAUUUCUUUUUUCUGCUUUGCCCCCUUACAAGAUCUUGAAUUGCGUUUUUUUGUUGCUCUGGGGAUUUUAGCUGGCUUUUCUUCACGUACGGAAAUGUUGAUUGGGCGUGUAAAGGAACAUUUAACUUCAGGUUUUGUACUUCCCGUAAAGAAAUAUAAGAGGGUUUAGACCACUCACUUGUACUCCUUUCAUUUUUAAAUAUAAGUUUUUAUAAAGAUUUGAUUAAAAAACUAUAUACGGAUGUUACUUUAGAAUAUAGAUUCAUUCAUUUUGCUUUGUAUGUAAACUAAUAUAAGAGUGUUUAGAUCACUACUUUAGUGAUCUAUAAACGUUUUUAUAUUAGUUUACGGAGGGAGUAGUCUUGUAGUAAAAAAUUUAAAGAAAACUAUAUUUAAAAAUCGGAGGGAGUAUUUUUUUUAUAGAAGGAUUAUUUAGCAUUUCUUUUCUAGUUUGACCCUUGCCAAGAGUUUUGAUUGUAUGCAAGAGAAACAUUCAAACUUAGAUUUUUCAGAUCCAGUAUAUUUAUGGUGCAUGGAUAAAUGAGUACAGGUACUUUUUACAAGAACCAAGCUGGUAUCAAACAUCAUCAUAAUAAAUGUUUUGGCUGGGUUUCUGUCAGAAAAGCAAAUGUGUCUACAUAAGACAAGACGUGGUGUGACUUCAACUCUCCGCUUCACCUUUGUAGAAGUGACGAUUCAAGAUGCAUUGAACUAGGUUUGUCUAUUUCUCACGAGUCACGGCCACAUGUCGUUAGCUUAACUAACCUAGUGUUACACUUGGCACAUAGUCAAAACGCAUAUUAACUUCGCCUUAUCUUAUCGGGGUCGAAAGAGUUGCAAAGUAAGGUUUGUACCAAUGCAUCGUUUCCUAUAACAUUCAUAAUUUAAAAAACUAUUAGCCCAGUGCAUUGCUUAUUAGAGGUUGUCUCCUGAUUUAAUGAUUUGGUACUCAUGCAUAGAUGUGAUUGGGCUAUUAACCAUUUUUACAUAUGAUGACGGACAAAUGUUGUAUCUUAGAUAAGAUACAACCCUACUCUCUCCCUCAUCAUUAACUAAUGUAACACAUCAGCAAAACGCCUAUAAAUCCACGCUAAGAAACUUUCAUUGGCACAGGCCUAAGGAUGACAAAAGACACAUAGCAAGCAUUGAUGAUCCCUGGCGUACACUAGUAGAAAAAGGGCCUUUGGCCUGGACCCUUUAGUCCCGGCCUGCCUCUGGGCCGGGACUAAAGGCCCGGCCACGUCGUCCCAAAUCGCACGAGGCUUUGGUCCCGGCCUGUAAGGAACCUUUAUUCCCGGUUUGUGUCUCGAACACGGACUAAAGGGUUUGGAGGAUUUAGUCCCGGUUCGUGUCUUGGACCUUUAGUCCCGGUUCGUGUCUCGAACUGGGACUAAAGGGUUUGGAGGAUUUAGUCCCGGUUGGUGUCUUGAACCGGGACUAAAGGGUAGACCUUUAGUCCCGGUUCGUGUCACGAACCGGGACUAAAGGUGUUCAGCUUUUUUUUCUGUUUUCAAAUUCUUGUUUGUGGUAUCUGUUUUAAAUUGCUUGUAUCUUUUAGGAUAUUUGAUGUUUUUGAUUGAUUUUUUUUGCAUUAGAUUCAAAAGAUUGUCUAGUUUCUGUUUGUGCCAUUAUUUUUCAAAUUUGAAUGGUUUAAAUUUGCUUCAAACCCAGUUUUUGAAUAACUUGAGUUUACAAAUAGUUUGUAAUUUAAUUCUUUUUCCUCCCACUCAUGUGUUAGAUUGUUGUCACAGUAAGAUUUAUUUGGUUAUUUUUAGAAUAAUUUAAAUUAGGAUUUUAAUUAAAGAAAUAUUUUUUUGCUUAUAUAGUUGUUUUAGUCAUUUAAUUGUUGUUUUUUAUUAUUUUUAGUUAGUUCUUUCUGUAGAUUUUAACAUGUUGUAGUAUGGUGCAUAUUGAAUGCACAAAAAAAUCUACAGUUCAAUUAAUUUUAAAAAAAUGCCUUUGUAGCAGAUGGGUUUUCGUCUGAAACCUUGAUACUUUGAGUUUUGUAGAAAAUAAACAAAAAUGAUAAAAUCUUCAAAAAUUAAACAAAAAUGAUAAAAUCUUCAAAAAAUAAAAUUCUUUCAGAUGUUGUUAGGUUUUAGUGUCUAGUUGGUAUAGAAAUUUUGAUAUAUGAAUUUUGACCGUUUUUGCAAAAAAAAGGRAAAAAAAUAAACGGCCAUAACUUUUGCAUACGACGUCCAAAAAAAUUAAUAUAUUAAAAAAACUAGAAAAAAUUGGUACUCGAUUUCACCCGGGCUUGCCCGGUGAAGUUUUCUCACAUGCUCAAAAUUCCAAAUGGAAAAAAAAUUAUUUCAAAAAGAAGUUUUUUCCAAAAAAAAGGAAAAUAAUUUUAUUUAAAAAUAUUAGGUUGUUUUCAUUGAAAUUCGCUAUUAUUGUUACUUAUUAAGUUUAUUUUAAUAAUUGUUUGUAAUUCAAAAAAUUAAAUCAUGUGACAUGACAUCAAGACCCAAGUUGUUUAGGAUUGAUAGCUUACUAUUGUCAGGAAAACAACAAGUGCACACUUGGCAACUAGGGGCGAUAGAACCGGAAAGUUAAGCGUGCUCGGGCUGAAGUAGUGAAAGGAUGGGUGAUCGGCCGGAAAGUUAGACGAUUUGAAAUGAGUGAUCUACGCUAGAGCAGUGAGGAUGGAUGAUUAGAGAUUGAAUUGUACAAAUAAUUACAAAGAUUAAGAAAAUUAGGAAAAUAAAACAAUAAAAAAAUAUUACAAAAAAUAAAAUUUWAGAAAAAAAAYUUAAAAAAAUUACUAACCUUUUACGGKWACAAAACAAAAAAAAAMACAGAACAAGAAUACCUUUAAGUACUACGGUUACGUAAGUAGAACCGGACUAAAGGUACNNNNNNNNNNNNNNNNNNNNNNNNNNNNNNNNNNNNNNNNNNNNNNNNNNNNNNNNNNNNNNNNNNNNNNNNNNNNNNNNNNNNNNNNNNNNNNNNNNNNAAUUUCCUAAAAUUACAAACUUUACAAACCCUAAAUUAACCUAAUGUUUAGUACGUACUUAAAAAGUUUUUAACCACUACUUCGUCAUUNUCAUGUCCACUGCUCAUGCAUCANCUUGAUUGCAUANGUUUGAUAUUGGUGUUGUCAUCCUUUCGUAGGCUCCGNUCCCCCCGGAUUCCACCGAACUAUCCGUCUGACGAAUAUUGUCACUCCUCUGAGCAACAAGGCAAGCAACCAUUUUGAUCAUCCCGAUAAAUCCCAUGUUCUUGCUCCUGCACUUACUUAUUGCAUUAGGAUCAAAUGCUUCAAAUGCUUUUGCCACGUUAGUUGAACCCACUUCCUUUGCAUGACCUAUCUUUGUCACAGUAAAUAGCUGAACCCUGCAACCUAGCAUACCUGGUAGGUGCUUGAGCCAUGAUGUGCCUUAUCCUGCUAUGCUUAGAGUUGUGUAUGGUCUGUCAUCUGGGACAUGAACAGAAUUGUAAGAAUGUGUUCGGUAAGCAAAGGCCGUGUUUUGAACUUGAUUUCGUAAAGGUACCGGUGAAAGGCUGUGUAGGAGUACAUGGCGGGUUGUUUCAUUGCAACCGUCCUUAGGAACUGAGUUCUGUGUAUGUAAUCCAAGACGAUACUACCACACGUUGGGAUACUUAAUUGACCCUCUCGACUUAUUAAUCGCUUAGUACUCGGUCCAGGAGUUGCAAGUAGUUUCUGGUGUUUAUAGUCAUGCUGGAGGCCGUGCAUAGCGCUGACCUGAGAGGUGGGCUGUGAUGCGGUAGGCAGUGGCACGGUGUACCAAGUGGCACCCGAAUGGUGGGCUUGGGAACCCUGCGCACAUCGUUUGAGGCCGUGGCGGAAACCUCGGCCGGACUUCCGUACGGGUUACUCUCAGAUAGGCGAUAAACCUGGACUAGGUACUAGUGUGGUUAACGGUCGUGGCCGACUCCCUCGCUGGGCUUCCGCUUGAAGGUUGCCGAGGUGCAUGACGUGCACAUGGCGAUAAGUGGCGAGAGCGUGUGUGACGAAGUACACCCCUGCGAGGGUUAUGAUCUAUUCGAAUACGCCGCGUCCGCGGAUANNNNNNNNNNNNNNNNNNNNNNNNNNNNNNNNNNNNNNNNNNNNNNNNNNNNNNNNNNNNNNNNNNNNNNNNNNNNNNNNNNNNNNNNNNNNNNNNNNNNUAGGGGGAMRUACGUCGCSACUCGUUCCACUCACCAACUACUCCGUCUCGUCGGUAGGGGACGGUCGACUACUCCAUCAACAAUACUUCAUCAGCACCAUCUGCUCUCCAAACCCUAGUUCAUCUCUUGUAACCAAUCUCCGUCUCGCGACUCCGAUUGGUACUUGUAAGGUUUCUAGUAGUGGUGAUUACUCUUUGUAGUUGAUGCUAGUUGGAUUACUUGGUGGAAGAGUUUAUGUUCAAAUCCUUGAUGCUAGUCAUUACACCUCUGAUAAUGAUUAUGAUUAUGCUUUGUGAGUAGUUACUUUUGUUCCUCGGGACAUGGGAUAAGUCAUGCUAAUAAUAGUCAUGUGAAUUAGGUAUUCGUUCGGUAUUUUGAUAUGUUGUAUGUUGUUUUUCCUCUAGUGGAGUUAUGUGAACGUCGACUACAUAACACUUCACCAUAUUUGGGCCUAGAGGAAGGCAUUGGGGAGUAGUAAGUAGAUGAUGGGUUGCUAGAGUGACAGAAGCUUAAACCCCAGUCUAUGCGUUGCUUCGUAAGGGACUGAUUUGGAUCCACUAGUUUAAUGCUAUGGUUAGAUGUUGUCUUAAUUCUUCUUUCUUAGUUGCGGAUGCUUGCGAGAGGGGUUAGACAUAAGUGGGAUGCUUGUCCAAGUAAGGGCAGUACCCAAGCACCGGUCCACCCACAUAUCAAACUAUCAAAGUAACGAACGCGAAUCACAUGAACAUGAUGAAACUAGCAUGACAGAAAUUCCCGUGUGUCCUCGAGAGCAUUUUUCUUCUUAUAAGACUUUGUUCUGGCUUGUCCCUUGCUACAAAAGGGAUUGGGCCACUUUGCUGCACCAUUGCUACUAAUUGUUACUUGUUACUUUUCGCUUGCUACGUUUCCCCUCACUACACAAUCACUUGUUAUCGCCACUUUCGGUGCUUGCAGUUAUUACCUUGCUGAAAACCGUUUAUCAAAGCCUUGUUCUCCUCGUUGGGUUCGACACUCUUACUUAUCGAAAGGACUACGAUUGAUCCCCUAUACUUGUGCGUCAUGAGUUAGCCACCUCAAAAAAAUGCUUAGUCGCUUGCAGCAGCCUCAACAGUUAACCAUACCUCACUCAUUAAGCUUUGCUAGUCUUGAUAACUUUGGAAAUGAGAUUGUUGAGUCCCUUUGGCUCACAGAUUACUACAACACCAGUUGCAGGUAUAGGUAAAGAGUUACUUGACGCAAGCGCGUUGAUUGUUCAUUUGGAGUUUCUUCUUCUUCUUCAUCGAUCUAGGAUGGGUUCCAAGUCGACAGCCUGGGAUAGCAAGGAUGGAUGUCGUUCUUUUAUCGUUUGUUUUCGUCCGUAGGCGGACCCUUCUCUUCUUCUUGAUUUUUUUAUAUAUUGUACUGAUGUAGCUUGUGGCGAGUGUAAGCCAACUCCUUAUACUCCUCUUUUCAGUACAUGUACUUGUAACGAUAUCCAUUCUUGCGAAACGACGAGAUGCGUUUCUAUCCCUGUCGAGGCCCUCGUGCCAAAAUAAGGAUAUGAUCGCAUCUUGGGCGAUACAACUUGGUAUCAGAGCAGUACCGACCUAGGAGCCCCCUUGAUUGAUCGAACUUGACCGAGUCGGGUCUAGUGAAAAAUUACUUUGAGUCUAGUUAUAUAUUAGAGAGUAGGAUUCUUUUUUCUCCUCUUCUAUGCUCCCGUGAGGAAUCUUGACGUAGUAAUUUUAAUUCUACUCCUCUUCUUGCUCAAUUGUUUUUAGGAUCAUGCAGAUAUUUUUGGAAUCUAUAUGAUGUCGAUGUGACGGAGUUCUGACUUGGUGCCUCGUGUUGUGUUGAUUUUAUUCCGGGGAGUUGAGCUCCACGGGAUUCUUGAGCACAUCGUUAUCAUUCAGAUUUCUUAGUAUCUCAGGACGAAGUAUGUUCAAAAUUGCUUCAAAACUAGUAGUGGCGAGAUAACCCCGACAUCCCCUGUACUGGUGCAGAGAGUUCCGGGGUACUGCCAUACUUGGUAUCGUUGUGAUUGCGAAGAUCUGAGAUAGAUGAGUUUCCGAGAUGUCUGGUUAUGUGUUGACGGAUGUGAUACACUGGACGGGGUAGUGUUAUUGCUAGGAGUUGAGUGAUGGAUUUUACUCCUUGUAUCCGUGGACCCGAUUGCAUGACCAGAAAUUUCGGAAGUUCUCAGGUGGGAAUUCAAGUAGUCACUUAUAGGAAAAUCUUCCAACAGAUGCAUGAUGUGAUGUUGGGGUUCGACAUCUAGUGGAUUCGUUUGUUCACGCUCGUCUUACAACGGUUCUCGUUGUGUCUUAAAGAGUCCUUGUAGCUUGCUACGACUCGGGGACGCUUCAUAUGUCGUGUGCACUGCCUUGUACAUGAUGGCUACUGUAGGACUGAGCCCGUGCGAUCCUAUCAACAAAAAUAUCGAGCGGAAUCUCUGUCAUGAAUUUGUUCUGGCUUGUUUCGUAAGUGGCACCCUUUAUUUUAUGAAGUAAGGUAAUUCGAGUUGCUUCAAUGUCAAGUGGUGAAUUCAUAACUUUCCAAUAGGUGUUCUCAUAUUUUUAUGGGAAUGCAAAUUGUUUUGCUCAAUCAAGUUGUCUUUUCAAUUCUUGUCAACCGGAGUCAUCAUGUCAAUUCUUUUUCAACCGUGUGUUUCUCUUCAAGUGAUUCAGUCCUCUCCAAUAUUGUGUAAGAUCAAUAUCUCAUUUGUUUUCGGAGUUCAUCUCAUCUGUCCCAAGUUGUCUUUGGUUUUUUUGCCGCCCUCCCUCCCUUUUUCUCCAAUGAUUUAGUUAUCAUCCAAGUGCAUUUUAAUUCAUUGAUGCUUCUGUUGUCUUUUCUUUUCUCUCUUAUCCGGUGAUUCAUUGUGAAGGUGCUCAGUGUUAAGUUCAUCAUUUUUUCAGUCUUGUUCUCUUUUCCGGUGGAGCCAAUUCAAGCUAUUUGUGUUCAUCAUAUCCUUUUCAUCCUUUAAAUUCUUUCCCAUGUUGGAAAUUCUUAUCAAGUCUUUUUUGUUUUUCAUCUCUCUCUAUUCUAUACGGUGUGUUGAAGAUUCUCACAGUUUCUUGUUCUCAAUCCUUUCAAUUAUUUUGAGGUUCCUAACCUCAUCGAGUUUUCAGUAAUGCCGGUGCAAUAUCUCUAUUUCCAAUCAAUUGUUUCAAUGGUGUUUUCUUUUAGUGGGCCCAUAACCCACAGGUUUUUUCGAGGAUCUUAUCUGGCUCUUCUAAUCUUUUCCGGAGAUCUCUAAUUCUUUUCAAAUAUGACGUAAGUAUGCAUUCCAUCAGUCAUAUUCCUUCCUCAAGGUCAAUCUGAAUUAUUUCAUCAUUGGCCCAACUUUUCAUAUUCUUAUUCCGGAGUGUCUUAAUUAUUCUUUGUGGUGUUCUCCUCAUCAUUUUUAGCUCGGAAGACCGAAGGAGUGUUUCUCUCAAAUCUUUGUCCAUUCUCCUAAAGAUUCAUCAUUUCAGCUUUGUGUUAUCAUCUUGAAUUGUUUUCAAUCAUGAGAAAUUCCUUCCAUAUUUAUCUGGUGCUAUUUUAGAAUUGUUUUCAUUCUCGGUCCUUCCGGAAGGCCAUCAUUUCAGUAAGUAUUUCUUCGUCCUCAGUCUUUCAGUCUUCAUUCUACWAAAUUCUUCUCAAUUGUUGUCUCUUCGUUCGUUCGYUCUUCCNNNNNNNNNNNNNNNNNNNNNNNNNNNNNNNNNNNNNNNNNNNNNNNNNNNNNNNNNNNNNNNNNNNNNNNNNNNNNNNNNNNNNNNNNNNNNNNNNNNNUAGGCCUAUGUUUGUCUAUAGCAUGAGGUUUAGCAAUUGUAGCAGCAUCUUCACAGAAGUGAAUAUCAUGGCCCUCAACAUCGUCAGACAGGAGAUCUUUGAUAAUAGCAAUGCUAGGUUCAACUCUAAUUUGCUCAGGGGGUGUAGGUGUUCUAAUGUAUCCCCUAGGUAUCACAGUUGAAACUUUAGAAUGAUCCUUUAUCCUAACAGGGAAAGGUGGUUCCUCAACGUAAGCACUAGGAACAAUAGGAUCAUUAUAAGCGAUGACUCUCUCUUCAACUGGAUUAGGUUUAACUACAUUGACUUCUAAGGCAGGAUGAUAUUUAAACCACUUCUCUUUAGGGAGAUCAAUAUGAGCAGCAAAUGAUUCACACAAUGAAGCUACUAUCUCAAAGUCAAGUCCAUAUUUAGCGCUAAAAUCACAAAAAGUAUUUGUUCCAACAAAGGAUUUAACGCAAUCAAACUUGAAAUUCAUACCUGACUCCUUACCUUCAUCAAACUCCCAAUCUUCAGAGUUGCGUUUAAUUCUUUCCAAUAAAUUCCAUUUGAAGUCAAUAUCUCUCUUCAUAAAAGAACCGAUACAAGAAGUGUCAAGCAUGGUGCGAUUAUCAUGAGAAAGCCGAGCAUAAAAGUUCUGAAUGAUAAUUUAUCUCGAGAGCUCAUGGUUGGGGCAUGAAUAUAACAUUGAUUUAAGCCUCCCCCAAGCUUGAGAGAUGCUUUCUCUAUCACGAGGCCAAAAAUUAUAAAUAUAAUUCCGAUCACGAUGUACCAAAUGCAUAGGAUAAAACCUUUGAUGAAAUUCCAAUUUCAAUCAGUUGUAGUUCCAUGAUCCAGUAUCAUCACAUAGCCUAUACCAUGUCAAUGAUUAUCCCUCAAAGAUAAGGGAAAGACCUUCUUCUUGACCCCGGGCAAACCUGCAAGCUUAAAUAAACCACAAACUUCAUCUACAUAGAUUAGAUGCAAGUCGGGAUGUGAUGUUCCAUCUCCUGUAAAAGGAUUAGCCAGCAAUUUCUCAAGCAUACCCAAAGGAAAUUCAUAGCAAAUAUUUUCAGUAGGUGCAGCAGGUUGAGGAGCAACUCCUUGUGCUUCCGUUCGAGGUGAAGAUACCCCGAACAAGCUCCUCAAAGGAUUAGUUUCCAUAGUAACAAGUGACAAUAAAUUUCAGCACACUAUAUAAAUGUUUCCUUACCAAAUUCCACUUACGAAAGGCGCUUCACUCCUCAGAAACGGCGCCAGAAAAGAGUCUUGAUGACCCACAAGUGAAGGGGAUCAAUCGUAGCCUUUCGAUAAGUAAGAGUGUCGAACCCAACGAGGAGCAGAAGGAUCUGACAAGUGGUUUUCAGCAAGGUAUUCUGUGCAAGCACUGAAAUUAUCGGUAACACAUAGUUGUGCGGAAAGAUGAUUCGUAGCAAGUAGCAAGUAACAAGUAGCAAUAGUAACAAAGGUGCAGCAAAGUGGCCCAAUCCCUUUUGUAGCAAGGGACAAGCCUGGACGAACUCUUAUAAGAGGUAAAGCGCUCCCGAGGACACAUGGGAAUUUCUGUCAAGCUAGUUUUCAUCAAGUUCAUAUGAUUCGCGUUCGCUACUUUGAUAGUUUGAUAUGUGGGUGGACCAGUGCUUGGGUGCUGCCCUUACUUGGACAAACAUCCCACUUAUGAUUAACCCCUCUCGCAAGCAUCCGCAACUACGAAAGAAGAAUUAAGACAAAGUCUAACCAUAGCAUUAAACUAGUGGAUCCAAAUCAGUCCCUUACGAAGCAACGCAUAAACUAGGGUUUAAGCUUCUGUCACUCUAGCAACCCAUCAUCUACUUACUACUUCCCAAUGCCUUCCUCUAGGCCCAAAUAAUGGUGAAGUGUUAUGUAGUCGACGUUCACAUAACACCACUAGAGGAAAAACAACUUACAACGCAUCAAAAUAUCGAACGAAUACCAAAUUCACAUGACUACUUAUAGCAUGACUUAUCACAUGUCCUCAGGAAUAAAAGUAACUACUCACAAAGCAUAAUUAUGUUCAUGACCAGAGAGAUAUUGAAUAGCAUCAAGGAUCUGAACAUAUAAUCUUCCACCGAGUAAUCCAACUAGCAUCGACUACAAAGAGUAAUUAGCACUACUAGCAACCUUACAAGUACCAAUCGGAGUCGUGAGACGGAGAUUGGUUACAAGAGAUGAACUAGGGUUUGGAGAUGAGAUGGUGCUGAUGAAGAUGUUGAUGGUGAUGAGUGCCCUCCGAUGAGAGGAGUGUUGGUGAUGACGAUGGCGACGAUUUCCCCCUCCGGGAGGGAAGUUUGCCCGGCAGGAUGACCCUACCAGAGCUCUAGAUUGGUUGUGCUCAAGUUCCGCCUCGUGGCGGCGGCGAUUCCUCCCGAAAGCCUCCUCCUGAUUUUUUCCGGAAUGAAACCCUCCUUAUAGCAAAAGAGGGGAGCCAGAGGGACAACAGGGAGCCCACAAGCCUCCUAGGCGCGGCCAGGGGGUAGGUCGCGCCUAGCAGGCUUGUGGCCUCCUGGUGGCUCCCCUCUGGUACUUCUUCAGCCCAGUAUUUUUUAUAAAUUCCAAAAUAAUUCCUCGUUGAUUUUCACGGCUUUUGGAGUUGCGCAAAAUAGGUAUCCCAAACUUUCUCCCUUUUCAGGCCAGAAUUCCAGCUGCCGGCAUUCUCCCUCUUCAUGUAAACCUUGCAAAAUAAGAUAGAAAAGGCAUAAGUAUUGUACCGUGAAGUGUAAUAACAUCCCAUAAAGCGAUAAAUAUCAACAUAAAAGCAUGAUGCAAAAUGGACGUAUCACAGCCCCAGAACCUCUGAUCGAUGUGCGCCAUCUCUGACUACCCAGCACACCACACUAAAGUUAGCAGAACUUCACAAGAAUGGUAGCAACUACUCAUAGGGAUGCCUAGAGCCUAAAACAAGCAUUCAAACUACUUGGAAAUUCAAGAAUUCAACAUGCAAGCUCAUCUAUAGAAACACCCAGAGUAGCUAAUUACUUCUGAGAUAAACCACUAGAGCAAAAACUAAUUGGAGGAGUGGGGGAGUUAUUUACCAAGGAGCAAUCCUCCAAAACAGUUUCGGAAAUGGAGUUUUGAGCAAAGAGAUCGAAAUCCAGGGUUUGAGGGCAAGAACGAGAGAAAGAGAGCUACACGAAUUUUUAUGUAGAGGUGAGUGAUGAAGUGGGAUGAAGGAAUAAGUGAGGGGACCCCCGAGGGGCCGACUAGACACCUGGCUGCGCUAGGGGGCUCGCGCGCCCUGGUGUCUAGUGGCCACCUGAGACACCCCCUGCAGUGUUUUUAGUGCUAGAAAUUCUCAAAUAUUCAGAAAACAAUUGUGUAAAAAAUUUCAGGUCAUUUGGAGUAACUUUUADUUUUDGGKCUACUUUUUUWWUGCAACGUAAAAUAUACAAGUAAAAUAGGAAUAAAUCAAUGUAACUUUUAUUAAUUAAAUUAAACUAAAAAAUAAACAAGGGUAAAAUAAAGUAGGUAACAAGAGUAAAUUGUAGACCUUAACUAAAUUACAACGUAGUNNNNNNNNNNNNNNNNNNNNNNNNNNNNNNNNNNNNNNNNNNNNNNNNNNNNNNNNNNNNNNNNNNNNNNNNNNNNNNNNNNNNNNNNNNNNNNNNNNNNUGUCCAUCAGGCCCUCUGGAAUAUGGUGCACGAAAAGCUGCACUGAAGUCUGCCCAUGUGGCUGCUGGUUCAGCGGGACGCAUAGCUUCAAAGUUCUCCCACCACAGAUUGGCGGGUCCUUCCAGAAAAUACGCCGCCAAGGUCACCUUGUCGGCCUCAGAAACAUUCGCAGAGCGAAUCUUGCGUGAGAUGCUGCACAACCAGUCAUCAGCGUCGAGGGGAUCGAUGGAGUGAUGAAACUUUGGAGGAUUCAGCUUCACAAAGUCGUUGAGGGACAUUGCAGCAUUCCUAGGCUGACGAGCCAUAUUCUGCUCAAUACGCUCUAACAGUCGGUUGGUCUCCCUUUUGUUUCUCUCUGCCUCAAGCAUAACUUCCGCCAGAGAGGGCGGGUGAGGCAGGUCUUCCUGCGACGCUUGACUACGCUCGCCUUGCUCAUGAGCAGGGGCACGGUUCAACCUGGUGAACACCAUCCUGACAAACAGACUCACAGCUUAGACCAAUAUCAUAUCAAUACCAGCUAUGGAUUAAGAAUGUACUGAACACACGGAAUGCGGAAAUGAAUAUCCGAACAACAUGGUAACAAGCAACUGCUAUAUAUACACCAUGGUUCAUACACACCCUUACAUAGUUCAGUACAACCUUAACCGAAGAGAAAACUACUGAAAUUAUGAAACUACUCAUCAGAGGCUUACAAGCUUCCUAUACAUUAUUUAUCUAGGCCUCCGGAAUUCAUUUCACAUCAUAGGCAUACUUCACAAGUCACGCAGGACUGUGAACGUACGGUUACUACCAUACUAUCCUUCCGCUCACAGCUCAGGCAUCCACAUAGAACAUCUCAAAGAGAUUACCUCCAUGGCCUGGAAGCUCAACCUGCGGAUGAGGAAACACUCUGGCCUGAGAUCCGUGGGAUCCAUAAGGACACGGAUGUGGCCUUGGUCCCCUGACUGGUGGUAAGAGGGGUCCCCGAAGAGGGGUGACUCCUCCUAUAGCUGGCCAGUCAACGUGGGCCGGAAGAUGGGUCCUAACAGGGUUCAGCAUAUCCAUAUCUCCGUACCCUGUCUGGACUACCGGUGCCAGCUGCGUCAAAGCCGUCCACAGACGGGCACGGGUAGCAUAAAGCUCCAUGCGGAGAGCACGAGCAUCCCUGUCUCUGUUCUCUAGCAUCUCAACAGUGGAUUGCAGUAGUGGAUCCUCCAUAGAAGAAUCAAAAUAGACUCCGCUGAGGUAUCCCUCUUCACCAGGCUGAGAGGCCGGAACAUAGCAGAAUUCUGAAUUCUGCAGCAGUGCAUGACUCGCCCUCAUAAUGGUCAGCAUUGAAUAGGCAGCAUCUUGUACUGCCAUGUCAACAGUGACUCCCAACCCAUAGGACCAAUGGAUUGGAUGCUCAACUCCAGGGUAGUCUGGAAAUACCCUAACAAUGCAGAUGUACUGGCUCUGGUUGAAGUCUCGGUACUGUUCCUCCACUGUGUACUCGGGGUACCAGCGGUAACCGCACACCGACAUCACCCUGACCAGCAUGGCCGUAUGACCGAGUACAUCAAUGCACCUGGUCAGACGUACCACCUGACGAGAAGGACGACCAGGCAUCUGUAAAUAGAGAGUAAUGCAAAAGCAUUAGAGCUCCGAAUGCAAAAUUGGGCAGCAUAACGGCUGUAAAUGCUGAAAAACAAAUUUGGAGACAACCCAAAAUGGAAUAGCGUAACCACUCAACUAUCAAGUUCAACUCUCUGAUCAUCAAACUUACUUCCCUUUUUCCUAGGAAUGAAAGAAACCCAAAUAUCUCUUGACCAGUAGUCCUAUAAUCUACCGAGCAGAAACACGAGCCUAGAAGAAGAUGAGUAACCUAGUCCUUAAUUCCCGCAGAAAAGACGAGGAUGACCAGAAUAGAAUAACUUGAGGAGAGAACAAGAGUCUUACGUUCCCUUCCACAAACAAUUCCCUUAUAUAUAACUAAAGCAAUUCUAGACUCAACUUCGACCAGUUUGGCUUAGUAAUCCUACAGUCAGUCAGGCUCUGAUACCAACGCUGUCGGGACCCCGAUCCUAAGCCAUAGGAAUCCAGCCUGUAACACAUCGCAUCCCUUUGCGGUCGCAUGCACGGUUAACCCCACGGCUCGACCUUACCUUAGCCAGGACCGUUUGCGUCUUUUGACUCACAUAUGCAAUUGUGUCACUAGCAUUCCAAUGUCAAAGAACCCGGAUCGACAAGUCUAGUCAUAAACCAAAGUGGCAGUACCACACAGGGACAUGCAUACAUGACCCAACAAACGCGAGGUAGUCGGUACACCGAGCGAACUAGGUACGACGGACGUACGUAGACAAGCUACWASGACRMGGUACCUCCUAACUUACUAUCGGCGUAGACCUAACGUUUACCCCGAAANNNNNNNNNNNNNNNNNNNNNNNNNNNNNNNNNNNNNNNNNNNNNNNNNNNNNNNNNNNNNNNNNNNNNNNNNNNNNNNNNNNNNNNNNNNNNNNNNNNNUCUAUUUGUAUUUGUGCAAACAUAUUAGCCUACAAACUGAACUACAGGGAAGAAAGAAACUAAUGCCAAUAAAAGAUUGCAAUAUAAUAUCGCCCGUUGAAGCCUGCAGCUUAUGGUUACCAAUGCUUUUGACCACCUUCCUUUCUAUGCCUCUGCAGAAACAUGCUCCAUUGACCAUCGUCGACAUGAAUUGACAGUUCUCUCAUGGACUGAACAACUCAGCUUCUCAAACAAAGUGUAGGAUACGAACGUAGUGGUCGGGAAAUCGACAAUUACAGAGAUGGCAACAACGUCGUACGGCCAGCCGGCCAUAAUUACCAGAUCAAUCGAUCUGAAGAAUUGGUGUACCACAGGGAGGUACCAUCGAUGGAAACAUGUAUGGCCUGACACCAUUGGAGGAGAGAGAUCGACACGUAUGAGGCACAGGAAAAUAGAUCGAUCUAAAGAACUGGAAUAUUACAAAGCGGUUUUUUAUGCCGGCAGCAGUUAGGGCAUGACACAUUGAAGGAGAGAGACAUGGAUGAGGCAUAGUAAAUGUAGGAAAAUAGAUAAAUCUAAAGAACGGGAGUAUUACAGAGGGUGCGUAUGUCGGCAACACUUGGGCAUGACACCGUUAGAAGAGAGAGAGAGGUAGGAGGCAAAGGAAACGAAAAUUGCAACAUGACUUGUGAAUUCUCAGUGGUAUAUAGAGAUAGAAUAGAUGUGUUUAUAUUGUUUAAAGAAUAAUUAAUGCACAUGAUUUAAUGGCAUGUAUGGGUAAUUAUUCAACUACAUAACGUCAAAGAUCUAAUGGCUUCAGAGGUGGAUUAGAUGAGUCAAUCUGCACCGUAAUAACUCGGUCCCACCGAAUUAACGGCUCAUAAAUUCUAAUUAACGUGGGAAUUUCUAGGGAGUCUAAAAUUAGUAUAAGUAUAAAUGUGAUGUCAAAUAUAUAUAUAUAUAUGCUGUGAAAUAAUUAUAAAACAAAAAAAACAGGUACUAUAUGGGCUCUUUGCCGUCUGCCAGCUGAUGGCAAAGACCUGUGCCAUCAGCUGACAGAUGGCAAAGGUGCCACAUGGCAUCCAGCUGUGCAUCCUGGGGUGUCUAUAUAGGCUUCUUUGUCGUCUGUCUUCGAGGGUGGCAGACGGCAAAGAGAGGGCACAGGAGGAGGGGGGGAGGAGGGAGGGCGAGGCCGGAACGAAAGGAGGUGGGGAGGGGGGGGGGRGAGGAGGGSAGRCGAGSAMRGASKAAAGGGKAGCAAAACGNAAAAGUGAGGAGGGGGGGGGGANAGGAGGACGNNNNNNNNNNNNNNNNNNNNNNNNNNNNNNNNNNNNNNNNNNNNNNNNNNNNNNNNNNNNNNNNNNNNNNNNNNNNNNNNNNNNNNNNNNNNNNNNNNNNGGAGAGAAAGAGAGGAGGAGGACAAGAAGAAGAAUAAAGAAGAAGGAGAAGGAGGAGAAGGACUAGAAGUCCUUGGCCUUCUCCUCCUUCUCCUCCUCCUCCUCCUCCUCCUUCUCCUUCUUCUCUUCUUCUUCUUCUUCUUUCUUUUCAUUAUUCCUAUUUCUUCUCCUCUUCUUGGAGCUAAAUUACCUAAUUAUGUCUUUUUGGAGCUAAAUGGGCUAAUUAUCUGAUUUUUGAGGAAAACAAGCUAAGUAUAUAAUAUUCAUCAGCUAACCAAGGUUCUUAUGCCAUUUUGAGGUUCUUAUGCCAUUUUGGAGCUAAAUGGGCUAAUUAUGUCUUUUUGGGGAAAUUAAAGCAAGGAUAAUAUGAAAGAGGAGAAGAGAAACUUACCGUAGUGGUCAUCAAGGAGGAGAAACACCACGGUUGCUCGCAGCGGCUUCGUUUGGAGACGGUUGCCCUGGAGAAGGGUCGUGCGAUGCCGCUCGGGAGUUAUUCUGCAGAAAAGAUAUUUUUCUAAUGUCUCAGUUAGCAUGAUGACACUCAAUUAUUAAUACUAGUUUAUAAUGAAACUCACUGUGCCAAUCGAAGAGAAGACGGGCGAUCGGCGGAGGGACUUGACCGCUCUUCUCGCACAGACCCUGAAGAGUGGGUCGUAUUAGUUUGUAAUGAAACAGACAUUACACACAUGAUUUGGCUAAUGUGAAAAAAACAUACCACAAAAAGCUCGUACAGGGCCCGUUGACCCGCCUCAUUCCGGGCCCUCUCCUCCUCAACCAAUCGUGCCGUGGUCUGGUCCCUCUCAUCAAGAGCAGCCUGAAGAGCAGCCUGGCUUGCCAAUCUCUCUUUCUCAAGAGCAGCCUGGUUUGCCGCUCUCUCUUUCUGAAGAGCAGCCUGAAACACCAUUCCUCGUUACCACAGUAAUGAUCUAUGGUGACACACAUAAUGAAAUGGAUGAAAGUGUUCUUAGUCCGUACAACUAACCUCGAUGGCAAGUUCGACUGGCCGUGGACGACGCGUUAUCUCAGGACAGCUGCUCGACUGGCGCGCCUUGAUCUCCGGAAGAGUGAGUGGACAACGUAUUAUCCCAUCUCCAAUGGCUAACGAGCCAUGGGGCCUCCCGCCACCAGAUAUCAUCACCAGCUCUGGAUCCAAAGGAUCCUGGCUAGGGUUAAAGUCAUCCCCUUUCGUAGCCUUCCCCGCAUCCGUGUAUGCCACGAGCUUCUGGUGGGAUGAUAUGUUGGUGAAGUUAUUGGGAUCAUCCAGGUCAGACUCAGAGAAUGCCUUCGCCUUCUUGUACGAGGCAAUAUGGGCCAUGCCAUAAAGGUCGUACAAGUGUGGCAUCUCAGUCUUAUUCUGAUGCGCCUAAAAGUGAGGAACAAAAUAUUAGCAUCAAGAAUGAAUUGCAUGAAUCAUGAAGCAAAUCACAUACCCAGUUUCGUCCAAACAGAAGUAAGUUGGUGCUGCCUUGAUGGUGUGGCACACCAACCAUUUGGCUACACCGAUCCUUCGCAUUCUCGUGGACGGCUCGCCAGCUGCCUGCGCACCACUCAUCAACCAACGCCUCCCAACAAUCCAUCUUAUCCGCACACCAUCUCGGGGGCACCUGUAAGUUAUUAGAAAGAAUUUUCAGCGCAAUGCCUAUGAAUGAAAUCAAGAAAACUACGUAGAAGGACUUAAGAAUAGGUAAUUACCUUCAUGUAUUGCUCCUUCUUCAGAAACUUUCUGCGGCAAUCCUUCUUCUGCUUCUUAAUACCACGUGUGGCGUAGUAAUCUCGAAUAGCCUGCGGCCGAACCUCGUGGCGCAAGUUCUGUAGUAACCGCCUACACACGGCCUCGAGAACCCUGGCCGCCGCCUCCUCAUAUCCAUCCUCACACCUAUAGAAGGUCUGCAAUGAAACGUGAAAACACCGAUUAGUACAAUAAUUAGCUAUAUUGUUAAUUUUAGAUUCUGUAAAAGGAUAAUUUACCCAAAAGCUCUUGAUCACCAUCUCGGCCCUCGUGUGGCACAAGACACCAUCUAUAAUCUCCUCUGGCGGGGCCUGCGCAGCCUCGUAGUGCUCCCAGGAAAAUCCUAGUGUAGGAACCUGACCCUCACCAUGCAACAUGGCAAAACCCGGCAAAUUUGUCCGGCAAAGCACACCAAGGAUGGAGUUCGGCCUGCGGACUCCAAGAGGGUGUACCCAUCCCCUGCAGUAUGAUAAGGUCAAUGCAUUAGAUAUUUGAACAAACUUGAAGGCAAAAGCUAAAAAAGGGUAAAUGUACUUACCUAUCUCCUUCAGGUUUAAUCACCGGCCUCUGCUCGCGGGUAGCCGGGGCGACCGGGAGACGUGUACUACCACGCUUGUACACGGUGGCCCCGUCUACCUGCACAUUGCCCUCACUAUCCGUAAGCUCAUCCCCGCCAUCCCCGACCCCUGAGCCACCCGGACCCUCGGUCCAAUCCAGCAACUCGGUACGAUCCGGCCAGGUCUCCCAUCCAGGCCUCUCCACAUCGGGUGAAGCCUCCAGAACCGUAGUCUCCUUCGGCUGCUCCUGGGCCGAAUGCACCUCGACCCGCGGCUGCUCCUGGAUUGGAGUCUCAUGGGACGAAUGCCCGUCAACAACAGGCUCCUGGAACGGAGUCCCCGUAGCCUCCUCCGUAAACGGGUCGACCAUACUAGUCCUAUGCUCGGGUGAAUGAGCUGGUGGUGGUGGCGAGGACGGCUCAACAGUCCUCCUGGAUCUUCCGCGGCCACCACCUCUCCCUGUACCCUUCCCCUUCUUCCCUACCCGACCAGCACCUCUCCCAGUGGGCAAUGCCGUCGACGAAGAAGAACCCACGGGUGGUGUCGACAGACUGUCUGCCAAGGCUCUACGGAGAGAUAGGGGUGGAAGGGAAGUACCACCCCUCGUGCGGGGCGCUUGGGAAGAACCCGUCGAGCGAUCUGGACCAGCGCCCACCAUCUUUCCACACCUGGUGAACUACCAUGAUAAAGACUAAAAGAAAUUAGUACAACAUAAAAAAAUUGAAUAACUGACAUGAAUWAUAAUAUGUACAUGAAUAAUAAAGAUUAAAAUAUAUAUAAUUUAAGUUGUGAAUCUUACAAACUAAUAAUCAUCAUAAAUAAAUGCAUCAUCAUCAUCACUAUCACGCAUGUCUUCAUGAAUGACGUGCUCGUCGGGUUCAACGGCGUGAAGUUAUGAAAGGCCUUCCUUUAAUCGUUGAAGCAUUGACAGGUCAUCCGCAUCAGUAACGUCUGCGAGUUCCAGGUCUUCUGGUUCCGGCUCAGGGCUGGAGUCGGAUUCAUUGUCGCUGUCUACUUCCAUGUUCUUGGGUGAAGAACGGCGGUUCUUGAAACGUUUCUUGGAAAGACGUGUUUCUUGGAAGAAUUCUCCAUCAUAUGUGUCUGGGUUAAUGUGAGGUUCAUAAUCUUGUUCAUUUGGGAGAGGUGGUCUGACAUGUGGCGGCACUUCAUAAACAACAUACCAACCUUCCAGAUUCUUAUCCGUUUGGCAUGCCCACGGUAGAUAGAAAACUUGGGUCGCCUGUUGAGCCGUAAUAUAGACAUCGGGAACAUCUAAAUGGGUGUUUGGAUUGAUUUCGACUAGUCCUAUAUGUUCAUGAUUCCUUCUAGUCUUUUUCAGCUGGAACCAAUAACAUUUGAAGACUACGACGUUUGGUGGGUUUUCACCAUAGAAUUGAAGUUCAUAAAUUGCUUCAACUCUUCCAUAAUACUCGAUAACACCUUCGCCGAUAGCAGAGACACCACAAUUUGUAGAUUUCCGGUUGGGCAUAGAUAGCUCUUUGCCAAAGGUACAAAAGAGAUACCCGUUGGUGUUGUAUUUCUCAAAUGAACGGACCUUAUAGUCAAAACCAUUAGUGACUUGUCUCAAUUCGGCGUCCAUAGACUCUGAAUUAGCCUACAAGUUUAAUACGAAACGGUUGUUGCAUUAGCCGCAAGUUAGACCAAGAAUGAAAUGAUCAUUAUUGAUAAUUACCGUUUGUUUGAACCAAGAGAUGAAACCAGGAUAGCCGCCUCCUGUCUUUGACAAAAGCUCAUACUCUUCGACGGAAUCAUUUUUGAUCACCGCUCCAUCCAAGAAUUUGACGACGUAACGGCUGUUCGAAAUAUCCGGGAAUAAGAGCAGUUCAAAUGAAUUAGAAGUUACGGGAAAUGUGUCAAGAACUCACUCGAUGUACGGUCGCACUUCUAUUAGGUUGUUGAAGAUAUACAACGAAAUGUUCCGCCAUUCUUCGACAUCCAACGUUAUUGGUUUCGAAGCACCGGCUGGUGCGAGCUUCCCUUUCGAUAGGCUGAGGUUGGACCCACCUUUUUUAGGGCCUGCAUCAUUGUGCCGAGGCUUCGGAUUAUGCAAAUGAUGAUUUUUGGCUUCGUAGUGUGCUGUCACAAAGUUUGCCACCUCCUCAGUAAUGAAUGCCUCAGCCAUCGAUGCUUCAAUUCUAUGCUUAUUUUUACAUUUAGCUCGAAGGGUCUUCUGCAUCCUCUCAGUUGCAUAGAACCAACGAUCUUGCACGGGCCCACCCAAUCUUGACUCGGUCGGUAGAUGUAAAAUCAAAUGCUCCAUUGGAUUAAAGAAGCCCGGUGGAAAGAUCUUCUCUAACUUGCACAACAACUCCGGUGCAAACUCCUCCAUGUCUUCUACCACGCCAGGCGACAAUUCUUUCGCACAAAGAACACAGAAGAAAUAGCUCAGCUCCGCUAGUACUAGCCAUUCAUCCUCAGGAAUAAAGCCACGUAACAUCACCAGCAUUACCCACUCUAGCCAUAUGUGCCAAUCAUGACUCUUGAGACCAAAGAUUUUUAAUUUUUCAAGACUCGCUCCCCUCUUUAGAUUCGCUGCAUACCCAUCGGGGAACAUCAAGUGCAUUUUGACCCACAAGAUAAUUUCCCUCAUAGCUGGCCUUCCAAGAUUGAACCAGGCCUUUGGCUUCGACCACUUCUGCUUUCCUUUGCCUUCUCGCAUGUUUUGUAACGGUCUAUGACAUAGUGUCUCUUGAUCGACUCUAGCCUUAAUAUUAUCCUUUGUCUUCCCAUCUAUGUCGAACAAUGUACCAAAAAUAGCCUCUCCGAUAUUCUUUUCAGUGUGCAUCAUGUCGAUAUUGUGUGGAAGAAGGAGGUCUUUGAAGUAAGGCAGAUCCCAGAAGCAUGGCUUGUGAGUCCAGGCGUGUUUUGAAUUAUACCCCUUGAAAUACCCUGGACGCUCUGGAUCAGGCUCGAGGGCGUUUAACUGAUCCAGGAUCUGUUGGCCUGUGAACACACGUGGUGCCAAGUUUUUGACAACUUUACCUUUCGUAAAGUUCUUCUUGUCUUUUCUGAACUGAUGGUCAGGAUCCAGGAACUGUCUAUGCAAGUCAAAGCAAGAAUACUUCCAACCCUCCUGCAACCAAUGAAACUGAAGAGCUGCCUUGCAUUGGGGGCACGGGAACCUUCCAUGCACACACCAUCCAGAGAAUAGCGCAUACGCUGGCAAGUCAUGCAUAGAGUACAUGUACCACACAUGCAUUUUGAAGUUUUCUUUUCUAGCGGCAUCGUAUGUCUUGACCCCAUUAUCCCAAGCUUCUUCCAAUUCAUCCUUAAGCGGUUGCAGGUACACAUUCAUAUUCUUCCCCGGAUAAUUGGGCCCUGGAAUUAUCAACGUCAGAAAUAUGUUCUUUCUUUGCAUAAUCUGCCCGGGGGGGAGGAUUGAGUGGAAUGACAAAUAGAGGCCAACAACUGUAUUGGGUUGCCGUCAUGCCGAAGGGAUUAAAACCAUCCGUGGCGGCGCAGACUCGAGGAUUCCUUGGAUCUUCCGCUUUACCCUGAUGCAAUCCAUCGAAAUGUUUCCACGCUUCCCCAUCCCAUGUGUGUACCAUCAUCUUAUUCCCAUCCGCAUCUAGUUCGGUUCUUUUGCCCAAUUUGUGCCAUGUCAUCUGUCUGGCUGUCUCUUCGACCAUGAAAAGACGUUGAAGUCUUGGUACGAUUGGCAUAUACCGAAAAACACUAACUGCGAUUUUGGUCUGCCUCUUCUCGCCCAUACCGUUGUCUACCACAAGAUACCUGCAAGACUCGCAAUUGGGACAAUAGUCCAAGUGUGCAUACUCCUUCCUAAAUAAGACACAUUCCUUUCUCACAUGCAUCUAUCUUCUCAUAGGGCAUCUUAAGUACACGAAGUAUUUUGUCCGACUGGUACAGGUUUGCAGGCAUGACAUGGCCUUUGGGUAGGAAACGUCCAAAUAGUGUCAUCAUCGCGUCGUAGCAUUCUCUUCCCAAGUUGAACUGAGCCUUCAGAGUCAUUACUUGUGCAAUUGCAUCCAGCUGACAGAGCUCGGUGUGAUCAUGGAGAGGGCGUUUUGAAGACUCCAACAUCUCACAAAAGGCCUUCGCAGAUUCCUCCAUCUCAUCUUCCGAAUCCCGAGCAUCAUCAAAGUCUUGCACCAUGUCUUCGAUCCCGGUACCAUGCUCGUCCGUGCAACGACGGACCACCUCAGCUCUUGUGCGUUGUAGGCAACCUACACACUAAUAGGUAAAGAUAGGUCCUAAUCCCACCCGAGUAUGUGUAGAUUGGGUUCGUUUUCCCAUGCUCUGCUCUGGAUCCAACGCAAAAUUUCGGCAGCACCUCCCCGCUGUUCUCCUGAUACACGUCUCCGCAAUAAACAGAGAGGAUGUGCAUCCGGAGAACAACGGGGGAGGCACUGACGAAAUUCCGCAUCGGAUCCAGAGCACAGCAUACGGGAAAACAACCCAAUCUACACAUACUCGGGCUGUCCAUGGAUAAUGUUGGACAAUUCCAAAGGAUGGCGGUUAUAAAUAUGCAAAGACAUGCAUAUUUAUAGAUGUCGCCCUUUCGAACGGGAGACGCAUACUGGUCACGCAUACUCAUGAUUGAAGAAACCUAUAUAUAUAGAUAGCAAGUUUCAUCGACACGAAGACCGGGACAGAGCAAAUUAAGGGGAUAGGAGGAGAAGUCAUUUGUGCUCACCAACAAACGUAGGGGCGGAGCUCGUCCAAUGCACGUGGAGGUCGUCGAACAACUGCACAUUGAAAUUCACCCGAUCAACACAAUUAUGAUGUUUUAUAAGAUAAUCAAAAAAAUAUWGUGACCUAACUCUUAUUUUAUUUUUUAUUUUUUCCUCUUAUUCUUCUUCUUAUUAUUAUUAUUAUUUUAUUUUUUAAUUUUUUUCCUCUUAUUCUUCUUCUCCUUCUUCUUCUUUUCUUCUCUUCUUCUUCUUCUUCUUCUUAUUCUUAUUCUUAUUCUUAUUUUCUUUUUUAUUUUUCCUCUUAUUCUUCUUCUCCUUCUUCUUCUUUUCUUCUUGUCUUAUUAUUAUCAUCAUUAUUAUUAUUAUUAUUAUUAUUAUUAUUCUUAUUUUCUUUUUUCUUUUUCCUCUUAUUCUUCUUCUCCUUCUUCUUGUUUUCUUCUCUUCUUCUUCUUCUUCUUAUUAUUAUUAUUAUUAUUAUUAUUAUUAUUAUUUUUAUUUUUUCCUCUUAUUCUUCUCUUGCUCUCCUAUUUUUCUUCUUCUUCUUCUUCUUCUUUCUUCCCCUUCCCUUCCUUUUCAUUCUUCUUCUUUUCCUUCUUCUUCUUUUUUUUUCUUCUCCUUUCUCCAUUCUUCUUCUUCUCCUUCUUAUUUCUUCUCCUUCCCUUCCUUUUCCUUCUUCUUCUUCUUCUUCUUCUUCUUAUUCUUCUUCUUCUUCUCCUUCCCUUCCUUUCCUUCUUCUUCUUCUUCUUCUUCUUCUCCUUCCCUUCCUUUUCCCUUUAACCCCCCCGUGUUCGUGYCGCCUACCUACUAACCUACUAAACGUCCCCCCCCGUUGUUUUCGUCGUUCGGGUCCUUUACCCCCCCUUUUUUAAACCCCCCCCCGNNNNNNNNNNNNNNNNNNNNNNNNNNNNNNNNNNNNNNNNNNNNNNNNNNNNNNNNNNNNNNNNNNNNNNNNNNNNNNNNNNNNNNNNNNNNNNNNNNNNAUAGUCACCGUGGUAUGCUGAUUACGCAAACUAUAUCGUAGCCAAAUACAUACCACCCAGUUUCACUACCAGCAAAAGAAKAAAUUCUUCUUUGAUUUGAGACACUACUUUUGGGAUUAUCCUCACCUUUAUAAGGAAGGAGUAGAUGGUGUUAUUAGACGUUGUGUGCGUGAACAUGAACAGGGACAAAUCCUGCAGAAGUGUCAUUCCGAAGCCUACGGAGGAAACCAUGCUGGAGACAGAACUGCUCAUAAGGUAUUGCAAUCAGGUUUCUAUUGGCCCACUCUCUUCAAGGAUGCCUGUAAGUUUGUCUUGUCUUGUGACGAAUGCCAAAGAAUAGGGAAUAUCAGUAAGCGUCGGGAAAUGCCUAUGAACUAUUCACUUGUCAUUGAACCAUUUGAUGUCUGGGGAUUAGAUUAUAUGGGACCUUUCCCGAGUUCCAAUGGGUAUACUCACAUCUUAGUUGUUGUGGAUUAUAUCACUAAGUGGGUAGAGGCUAUCCCCACUAAAAAUGUUGAUCACCACACCUCUAUUAAGAAGCUUAAAGAAGUCAUUUUCCAAAGAUUUGGAGUCCCUAGAUAUCUGAUGACCGAUGGCGGUUCACACUUCAUUCAUGGUUUUUUCCGCAAGAUGCUCGCUAAGUACGAUGUCAACCAUAGAGUUGCAUCUCCUUAUCAUGCUCAGUCUAGUGGUCAAGUGGAGUUGAGUAAUAGGGAGAUCAAAUUGAUCUUACAAAAGACCGUCAAUAGAUCUCGAAAGAAUUGGUCUAGCAAACUUGACGAUGCACUAUGGGAUUAUAGGACUGCUUAUAAGAAUACCAUGGGCAUGUCGCCAUAUAAAAUGGUUUACGGUAAGGCCUGUCAUUUACCUCUUGAGCUGGAACACAAGGCUUAUUGGGCAAUCAAAGAGCUUAACUUCGAUUUCAAACUUGCCGGUGAGAAGCGGUUGUUUGAUAUCAUCUCAUUAGAGGAAUGGAGGGCCCAGGCAUAUGAGAAUGCCAAGUUGUUCAAGGAAAAGGUUAAGAGAUGGCACGAUAAAAGAAUACAAAAAUGAGAGUUCAAUGUAGGUGAUUAUGUCCGACUAUACAAUUCUCAUUUAAGAUUCUUCGCAGGCAAGCUUCUCUCUAAAUGGGAAGGUCCCUACGUUGUCGAGUAAGUAUAUCGUUCCGGUGCCAUCAAAAUCAAUAACACGGGAGGUAAUUUUCCUAGAGUGGUAAAUGGGCAAAGAAUAAAGCAUUACAUCUCUGGCACUCCCAUAAAUGUUGAGACCAAUAUCAUCAAUAUCAUAACUCCAGAGGAGUACAUAAGGGAUGUUUAUCAGCCUGUUUCAGACCCUGAAAACGAAAAGGUAUCUAUUUCGGUAAGUAAUUGGACUCCAAAACUUUUCCAAUAGGAAUUUUUCUCCGUUUUGGAAUUUAUGGAAAAUUAGAAAAAUAAAAAGCAGUCCGGAGAGCGCACGAGGCGGCCACAAGCUUGGUUGCCGCGGCCUCCCCCUGGCCGCGGCAACAGGGCUUGUGGGCACCUCGUGUGCCUCCCGGACUCCGUUUUCUUUGCUGAGCACUCCUUUUGGCCCAGAAAAAAAUCAUUAUAUAUACGCCCGAGGGUUUUGAUCUCCGUAUCAUGCAUUUUUCCUUUGUUUUCGUUUCGAGCCUGUUGUCUGCCGCAGAUUUAGGUCAAGAUGUCUUCUCAAGAUUCAGAAGGAGAGAUCUAUGUGGCCGAUGACCGUGCUAACUCCAGGAUUAAUGGGUACUUAGAGCCUUAUGGUUGGACCACAGAUGAGGAAGAGGGUCAUGGACCAAAGGGGAAGGAGCAAACAAGCUCUGGCGAGGAGGAGGCUCCUCUACCUCAACCUGCAAAUACCCAUGUGGAGUUCAAGAAGUCAAGCCUCCCCAACUCCAGGAAGAAGCAUAAGACCCUGUUUAUCCCGUCUCGUUUCUUGCAGGAGAGUAAGCAGGAACUUUGCCAUAGAGUGUUGAAGCUUGAGGAGGAAAAUGAUGAUCUGAGGGACCAGAACUUUUUGCUCAAGUGGAAAUUAGACAAGCUCAAGACAGCUUCAACAACAACACCGCCAUCACCACCAAAGGAAGACAACUAAGCAUUGGUAUGGGCAAUCCCCUUGGCUUAUGCCAAGCUUCGGGGAGUUGCCCUGGUAUCGUAUCACCUUUAUAUCUUUUGCUUUUACCUUUGUUUUAGUUCUUUCAUUUUUAGUUUUAUUUCUUCUCUUAGUGGAAUAAGUCUUUAGUGUUUUAGUUUCAGACUUUUGCCUUGUGUCUCCCUUGAUGUAUUUGAGCUUGCGAUCUAUAUAAUAAAGAGUAUCUUAGUCAAGGGAUUUGCUUUGUGCCGUGAUCAAAAGUAUGAAAAGAAUGAUAGCAUGAAAGAUCAUGGGAUGAUCUUAUGGAAAGUGAUAGCUUCACAUAUAACAAGUAUGAUGAUUGAAACUUGUUGAGAGUAGACCAACAUAGACCUCAGUCAUUGUUGCAAUUAAUAAGAAGUAAUAAGGAAAGAGAGGUUCACAUAUAAAUAUAUCAUCUUAGACACUUUCUAUAAUUGUGAGCACUCACCAAACUAUUACAUGCUUAGAAGUAGAUGUUGGACAAGGAAGACAACAUAAUGAAUUGUCUUUGCUUGGUUCCAAACAAUGUUAUAUGAUUAGAGAUCCCUUAGCAUGUGACGAUUGCUUCCACCUCAUAUUAGCCAAAACUCCCGCACCAAGUAGAGAUACUACUUGUGCAUCCAUAAACCUUCAACCCAGUUUUGCCAUGAGAGUCCACCAUACCUACCUAUGGAUUGAAUAAGAUCCCUCAAGUAAGUUGUCAUCGGUGCAAGCAAAAAAAAUGCUCUCUAAUAUGUAUGAUCUAUUAGUGUGUGGAAAAUAAACUUUGUACGAACCUGUGAUGAGGAAGACAUAAAAGCGACAGACUACAUAAUAAAGUUCUUUAUCACACGAGGCAAUAUAAAGUGACGUUCUUCCGCACUAAGAGGACACGCAUCAAAACCUCAAAAGCACAUGACAACCUCUGCUUCCCUCUGCGAAGGGCCUAUCUUGUACCUUUACUUUUUGCCCUUGUAAGAGUCAUGAUGAUCUUCACCAAUUCCUUAUUUAGCCUAUUUCUUGGUCAACGCCAUAUGCUUGGGAAAGAUCUAUAUUCAUAUAUCAACUUGGAGCUGAGUACUUAUGCUUUAUUAUUGUUGACUUUACCCUUGAGGUAAAUGGUUGAGAGGCAAAAUUAUAAGCCCCUAUCUUUCUCUGUGUCCAACUAAAACUUUGAUAUCAUGAGUACCAUGUGAGUUGCAACAAUUGUAGGAAAACAAAAGAGAUGAAUUGAGUAGUGUAGGUAUUUGCUUUGCAAGUCUUACUUAUUUCGACUUCCUUUCUAGAUUGAUAUKAUARWAAUUAAAGUUGACUAAAUUUGUUACCUAGUCGUUAACGUUUUGGACCGUUUGUUUGGUUGGUCCUUAACGUUUCGUUUAGGGUUUAAACGGUUUUUUUCNNNNNNNNNNNNNNNNNNNNNNNNNNNNNNNNNNNNNNNNNNNNNNNNNNNNNNNNNNNNNNNNNNNNNNNNNNNNNNNNNNNNNNNNNNNNNNNNNNNNAAGAUAAGUGUGAGUGUCGUGGACGGUCAUUUCCGUAUGGAGACGGAAUGAUUCACGAUGGUGUAUUGUUGUGGUGUUAGUGGACUCGUGUGCGAGAGAUCAAGUUGUUAAAAUUAUUUAAGAAUGCAAGAUGUCUAGCCACGAGUCAAAUGUUGGCUUUCCGCAUGAAACCCCACCAUACCUUAUUGAUACAUUGCAUGAGUAGAUAGUUAUCCUAAUGUCUUGCUGAGUACCUCCUUACUCAUGUUUGCUUAAUAAAUGUUGCAGAGGUUGCUAAUGACCCUAAUGGUGGGUUCUUCAUAGACAUCGACGACGACGAGUAGCUGGUGUCCCAGCUACGAUCUGGCCCUAGGUUGGGUAUGUAGUAUAGUCAGGCCAUGUGCCUUCUAGUUGCACCUGUCUGUACUCAGACAAUUUUAAACACUUCCGCUGGCUUGUAACUGAAUGACUGCUAUUAUGGGUCGUGAGACCCUUACUGUGUAAUAUUAUGUGUGUGGCUCUUCCGAGCCUCUUAAAUAAAGCUUGUAUGUUUAUGGUUAUGUUGUGAUGCCAUCGAUGUAUCUAUACAUAUCGGUAUGCCAUACGUACGUGUGUCAUACUUGAUAUGUAUGGGGUUCGAUUACCUAGCCGUGAACUUUAGCAGCACUCCUUACAGGGAAAUGCCCCUUUGUGAUCCAACGAGCCAUGGUAGUUCGCUACUGCUCCGGACACAUUGGUUGACCCGCAUGUGUCCUUCCUAGCUGUUGUGUAUGUCCCCUUUGGGGAAAUGUCACGCGAUGUAAUGGAGUCCUUGUAGCUUGCUACGACUCGUCUACAUUCGCUGGUGACCGACACCUGCUUUGUUGGGUCAUGUAUGCAUGUCCCUGUGUGGUACUGCCACUUUGGUUUAUGACUAGACUUGUCGAUCCGGGUUCUUUGACAUUGGAAUGCUAGUGACACAAUUGCAUAUGUGAGUCAAAAGACGCAAACGGUCCUGGCUAAGGUAAGGUCGAGCCGUGGGGUUAACCGUGCAUGCGACCGCAAAGGGAUGCGAUGUGUUACAGGCUGGAUUCCUAUGGCUUAGGAUCGGGGUCANNNNNNNNNNNNNNNNNNNNNNNNNNNNNNNNNNNNNNNNNNNNNNNNNNNNNNNNNNNNNNNNNNNNNNNNNNNNNNNNNNNNNNNNNNNNNNNNNNNNUGUUCCAAACAGGGCCUAAACUUGAUUGUGCUAGAGCUUUUCUUGUUUCACACACAUCAUUUUCUGGCCUGUUUAUUGUGUUAYGUCAAUAUCAUCAAUAUUUAAUGUUUGGUGUUUAUUUUGCCGACUCUUACUACACGUUUGAACCGACAAGCUAAUCUGAAUAACAUGUUGGGGUGACUCGUACAUCAAUGAGAAUGCUUAAUGCAUCUUGACUCGCUUGUUGGUUCCAUUUCCAAGGUGGAAAGGGAAUUUGAAGAAAAUCGUGUACCAACGAGCCACUAAAACCCAAUUUACUUUGACAAACCUACCUUUUCUCAUAUAUAAGACCAAUAAGACUUGACCCUGUUGGAGUUUUUAUCGUGUAUAUGUACAUCAUGUUAGGUGUGUUUGUUGUACUACCACUAGUGGGGACAUGUCCUUUAGUCUCGGUUCACCAACCGGGACUAAAGGCCUAACCUUUAGUCCCGGCCCUGUUUCAAGCCGGGACCAAAGGUGCUCCACGUGGCCGCCUCGGAGGGAGUACCUUUAGUCCCGGUUCUACUUACGAACCGAGACUAAAGGAUCUGUCUUGUUUUUUUUUGUUUGACCCGAAAAGGUAGUAAUUUUUUUUUAAUUUUUUCAAAUUUUUAUUUUUGAAUUAUUUUUUAUGUUUUAUUUCCAAUUUUCUAAUCUUUGAAUUUAUUUGACAAUUCAAUCUCUAAUCAUCCAUCCUCACUGCUCUAGCGUAGAUCACUCAUUUCAAAUCGUCUAACUUUCCGGCCGAUCACCCAUCCUUUCACUACUUCAGCCCGAGCACGCUUAACUUUCCGGUUCUAUCGCCCCUAGUUGCCAAGUGUGCACUUGUUGUUUUCCUGACAAUAGUAAGCUAUCAAUCCUAAACAACUUGGGUCUUGAUGUCAUGUCACAUGUAUUUUAAUUUUUUGAAUUACAAACAAUUAAUUAAAAUAAACUUAAUAAGUAACAAAUAAUAGACGAAUUUACAAAUAGUAAAAACAACCUAAAUUAAUUUUUUAAAAUUAAAAUUUAUUUUUUACCUUUUUUUAGGUAAAAACUUUACUUUUUAGUAAAUUAAUUUUUUUUANNNNNNNNNNNNNNNNNNNNNNNNNNNNNNNNNNNNNNNNNNNNNNNNNNNNNNNNNNNNNNNNNNNNNNNNNNNNNNNNNNNNNNNNNNNNNNNNNNNNACACCACUCGUAUCAUUAUCAGAGGUGUAAUGACUAGCAUCAAGGAUUUGAACAUAAACUCUUCCACCAAGUAAUCCAACUAGCAUCAACUACAAAGAGUAAUCACCACUACUAGAAACCUUACAAGUACCAAUCGGAGUCGCGAGACGGAGAUUGGUUACAAGAGAUGAACUAGGGUUUGGAGAGCAGAUGGUGCUGAUGAAGAUGUUGAUGGAGAUGACUCCCCUCCGACGAGAGGAGUAUUGGUGAUGACGAUGGCGACGAUUUCCCCCUCCGGGAGGGAAGUUUCCCCGGCAGGAUCGUCCUACCGGAGCUCUAGAUUGGAUGUGCUCAAGUUCCGCCUCGUGGCGGCGGCGAAUCCACGAAAAAGCUCCACCCUGAUUUUUUCUCGGACGAAACCCUUCAUAUAGCAAAAGAAGGGGGCCAAUGGGCCACCAGGGUGCCCACAAGCCCUGUUGCCGCGACCGGGGGGGGGGGGUAGGGCCGCGGCAACCAGGCUUGUGGGCCCCUGGUUGCUCCCCUCUGACACUUCUUUCACCUAGUAUUUUUUAUAUAUUCCCAAAAAAAUCCACGUUGAUUUUCAGGUCAUUUGGAGUUGCGCAGAAUAGAGGACUCAGACUUGCUCCUUUUCUAGUCCAGAAUUCCAGCUGCCGGUAUUCUUCCUCUUCAAAUAAACCUUGCAAAAUAAGAGAGAAAAGGCAUAAGUAUGGUUCCACAAAGUAUAAUAACAGUCCAUAAAGCGAUAAAUAUCAACAUGAAAGCAUGAUGCAAAAUGGGCGUAUCAACUCCCCUAAGCUUAGACCUCGCUUGUCCUCAAGCGAAAACCAAGACCCAAAACAUGUCCACAUGUUUAGGGAUGAAGGUGUCGAUAAAACAUAAUACGGACAUGAGGGCAUCAUGAUCACACAUAGAACAGUAAUACAUCAUAGAGAUUCUUAUGGGAAAGUAACAAUUCCUUCACAAAGCAAAGUAUGGAACAAAAACCUUACCAAGAAGUAGCCAACAACAGUCCAAAGUCAUGGAACAAUUGCAAUUUAUCAUAUCAUCAGAAAGAGUCAAAUAAGAGCUUGCAAAGCAAAUCCACAUACUCAAUCAUCUCUUUUGUUUUCCACAAUUGUUGCAACUCACAUGGUACUCAUGAUAUCAAAGUUUUAGUUGGACACAGAGAAAGAUAGGGGCUUAUAAUUUUGCCUCUCAACCAUUUACCUCAAGGGUAAAGUCAACAAUAAUAAAGCAUAAGUACUCAGCUCCAAGUUGAUAUAUGAAUAUAGAUCUUUCCCAAGCAUAUGGCGUUGACCAAGAAAUAGGCUAAAUAAGGAAUUGGUGAAGAUCAUCAUGACUCUUACAAGGGCAAAAAGUAAAGGUAANNNNNNNNNNNNNNNNNNNNNNNNNNNNNNNNNNNNNNNNNNNNNNNNNNNNNNNNNNNNNNNNNNNNNNNNNNNNNNNNNNNNNNNNNNNNNNNNNNNNUCCAGGACCCGAGAUUUAGAACACAGUUCUUCACCAAUGAGCCAUGUAGAGKAGAUUAAGCAUCUGGGAACUGCAUCGUUUAUUAUGUUUAUUUCCGUGCAUUGUGUGAAGGAACAUGGCUCAUCUUCAGCCCGCUGUCGACGCGCCACGACGCCACUAGAGCCAAUUGCGAUGGCGGCUCAAAAGCUCGGCCGAGACGAGUAGGUCCCAACUUGGUCGGGCAAUUUAUAUUGUAUGAUCAACGCCCAUGGGUUUUUGGAUUUGAGAAUCCGCAUUUGAGGUACGUGGAUGUGCGGCUGUCAAUAAGAGGGACCGCGUCGGUGCUGUCCGUUGACGCUCCUGCAGUAGUAGUCGGGGACAGAUUUGCCUAAGGUCCGGUUGUAGAUUGCUUACUUAAAUUGUUUUUUACUUAUUUUCUUUUUUUCUUUUUWUUWUUUWUUUWUUKUUUYCKUUUUYMUUUKUUUMMUWUUMGUUUSYUAUUUAKUUUGKUUAKUGUUUACUAAAAGUUUCUACUUACUAUUACUAAAAUUGUACCUAAUUGUGUUAUUAACUAAAUUGUUACCUAUUACUUAAUAAUUAAAGUAAAAUUGUUACUAUAGGUUAAUUAAAUUAAAAAAAGUUACUAAAUUAUUAGUUAAUUUAAUUAAAAACUUUACUAAUACUUAANNNNNNNNNNNNNNNNNNNNNNNNNNNNNNNNNNNNNNNNNNNNNNNNNNNNNNNNNNNNNNNNNNNNNNNNNNNNNNNNNNNNNNNNNNNNNNNNNNNNUGCCUUGCUGGAGGGGACUUUAGAGUUGGAGGGCUUCUACAUCAACAUCAUCGCCCCCCCAAUKACUCGUGAGUAGUUCACUUCAGACCUACGGGUCCAUAGUUAGUAGCUAGAUGGCUUCUUCUAUCUCUUGGAUCUUCAAUACAAAGUUCUCCAUGAUCUUCAUGGAGAUCUAUCCGAUGUAAUCCUCUUUGGCGGUGUGUUUGUCGAGAUCCGAUGAAUUGUGGAUUUGUGAUCAGAUUAUCUAUGAUAUAUAUUUGAGUCUUUGUUGAUUUCUUAUAUGCAUGAUUUUAUAUCCUUGUAAGUCUCUCCGAGUCUUGGGUUUUGUUUGGCCAACUAGAUCUAUGAUUCUUGCAAUGGGAGAAGUGCUUGGUUUUGGGUUCAUACCAUGUGGUGACCUUUCCCAGUGACAGUAGGGGCUGCAAGGCACACAGGGGGAUAGUUGCCAUCAAGGAUAACAAGAUGGGCUUUGUCGUAGAUAUGACGAUUGUCCGUCUACAUCAUGUCAUCUUGCUUAAGGCGUUACUCUGUUCUUUUGGACUUAAUACACUAGAUGCAUGCUGGAUAGCGGUCGGCGUGUGGAGUAAUAGUAGUAGAUGCAGAAAGUAUCGGUCUACUUGUUUUGGACGUGAUGCCUAUAGAUAUAAUCAUUGCCUUAGAUGACGUCACGACUUUGCGCGGUUCUAUCAAUUGAUCGACAAUAAUUUGUUCACCCACUAUCUACUUGCUUUCAUGAGAGAAGCCACUAGUGAACACUACGGCCCUCGGGUCUAUUCACACCUAUCGUUUCCACUUUUGCUUUUACUUUGCUUUGUUACUUUGUUGCUUUCAGUUCUCACUUGGCAAACAAUCUAUAAGGGAUUGACAACCCCUUCAUAGCGUUGGGAGCAAGAUUUUUUUGUUUGUGCAGGUACUUGUGAUACUCCUUCACUGGAUCGAUACCUUGGUUCUCAAAUCCGAGGGAAAUACUUACCACCGCUGUGCUAAAUCACCCUUUCUGCUUCGAGGGAACACCAACGCAAGGCUCCAAGGCCACGGGGAAAUCCUUUGCAUAUUUGCCUAGGGAGUCCCUAAAGGCGUAGCCGUAGCAGAAGGAUUCCUGGUGCCGUUGCUGAGGAGUAUCAAGACAAGAACAGUCUCCCGUCAGCACGUGUUUCUGGCGCCGUUGGAAGGUCUUUUGUUGCAGUAGCACCUGCCGGAGAGGACUUUGGAGUUGGAGGGCUUCUACAUCAACAUCAUCGCCCCUCCAAUGAGUCGUGAGUAGUUCACUUCAGACCUACGGGUCCGUAGUUAGUAGCUAGAUGGUUUCUUCUCUCUCUUGGAUCUUCAAUACAAAGUUCUCCAUGAUCUUCAUGGAGAUCUAUCCGAUGUAAUCCUCUUUGGCAGUGUGAUUGUCGAGAUCCGAUGAAUUGUGGAUUUGUGAUCAUAUUAUCUAUGAUAUAUAUUUGAGUCUUUGCUGAUUUCUUAUAUGCAUGAUUUGAUAUCCUUGUAAGUCUCUCCGAGUCUUGGGUUUUGUUUGGCCAACUAGAUCUAUGAUUCUUGCAAUGGGAGAAGUGCUUGGUUUUGGGUUCAUACCGUGUGGUGACCUUUCCCAGUGACAGAAGGGGCAGCAAGGCACACAGGGGAUAGGNNNNNNNNNNNNNNNNNNNNNNNNNNNNNNNNNNNNNNNNNNNNNNNNNNNNNNNNNNNNNNNNNNNNNNNNNNNNNNNNNNNNNNNNNNNNNNNNNNNNCCUAUCCCCUGUGUGCCUUGCUGCCCCUACUAUCACUUGGAAAGGUCACCACAUGGUAUGAACCCAAAACCAAGCACUUCUCCCAUUGCAAGAAUCAUAGAUCUAGUUGGCCAAACAAAACCCAAGACUCGGAGAGACUUACAAGGAUAUCAAAUCAUGCAUAUAAGAAAUCAGCAAAGACUCAAAUAUAUAUCAUAGAUAAUCUGAUCACAAAUCCACAAUUCAUCGGAUCUCGACAAUCACACCGCCAAAGAGGAUUACAUCGGAUAGAUCUCCAUGAAGAUCAUGGAGAACUUUGUAUUGAAGAUCCAAGAGAGAGAAGAAGCCAUCUAGCUACUAACUACGAACCCGUAGGUGUGAAGUGAACUACUCACGAGUCAUUGGAGGGGCGAUGAUGUUGAUGUAGAAGCCCUCCAACUCCAAAGUCCCCUCCGGCAGGGCACCGGGAAGGGUCUCCAGAUGAGAUAUCGCAGAAACGGAACCUUGCGGCGGCGGAAAAGUGUUUUCGUGGAUUCCCUGWWUUUUUUUUCUGUAUUWUAAGGAAUAUAUAGGCGAAGGAGCUAGGUCAGGGGGGCGCCAGGGAGGCCACAAGCCUGCUAGCCGCCGCCCCCAGGUGGUGGCUACGAGGGCUUGUGGGCCCCUGUAGCUCUCGUGCUUGGCCCUCAACGCCCCUGACUCUUCUUCCGUUCGGGUAAAACUUUAGUUAACGGGUAUUUUAGUUUCCGGUUUAGGGUAACCUUUCCGUUUACCCGUAAAAGUUCCGUAACGGUAACCUUAACUUACGGUAAAAUUCGGUAAACGUAACCGAAAAAAAACGUACCUAAAACGAAAAAAAAACCCGUAAGGNNNNNNNNNNNNNNNNNNNNNNNNNNNNNNNNNNNNNNNNNNNNNNNNNNNNNNNNNNNNNNNNNNNNNNNNNNNNNNNNNNNNNNNNNNNNNNNNNNNNUAACACCAACAAAGURUCYYMAGCAAAAGGAAAGAAGAAGAAGAUGACUCCAAUGAAGAAGAAAUUAAGUGAACUGUGAACUCGUUUGUGCUGCCAUGAACUACUUUUGCUGCUGCUACACCAACAAAGUCUCCAGCAAAACGAAAGAAGAAGAAGAUGACUCCAAAGAAGAAGAAAUUAAGUGAACUAUGAACUAGUUUUGUCUAUUGAUGUACCCAUUUGUUAUUUAUCCAUUGACAAAUCUGUUAAACAUUGCAAAGGGGGGCAUCAGCUACAACCUGGUGAAAACUGGGGGUCAAAAGGGAGCCAGGCAAACAGGGGGGCUUAUGUUGUGGUGGCGCACGAACAGGGGGGUGAUAAUCAAUUCUCUCCUUCUUCUUUUCCUUCUUCUUCUUAUUUUUUUAUUCUCCUUUCUCCUUCUUAUUCUUCUCCUUUCUCCUUCUUCUUCUUCUCCUUUCUCCUUCUUCUUCUCCUCCUUUCUCCUUCUUCUUCUUCUCCUUUCUCCUUCUUCUUCUUCUCCUUUUCUCCUUUACUAAACAGGAAACUAACCUAACUAAACCUAAACUAAAAAUGAACCUAAACUAAACUAAUUUAACAACCUAACUAACUAGCCUAACUAACCUAAUAAACUAAAAAACUAACCUAACUAAUUUAACAUAAAUAAAAAUAAGGAAAAAACAAAAAAAUGGGGGACUCACCGGCGGGGCGGCGGGGCGUCGGGCUGCGAGGAGGACGGGUGCGACGGGGCAGUGGGGCGUCGUCGUCGGCAGUGCCGUGGUGGGGGGCAGUGGUGGCGGCGGGGCGGCUGUGGAGGCGACAGGGGUGACGAGGGGCGGCGGACGCGGACGGUGGUGACAACGGGCAGGCGGGGGCGAGGUGGGGAGAGAGAGGAGGGGCGGCGGGCGGGGGCGACGAGGGGCGGCGAGGUGGGGGCGACGAGGGGSCGGCGGCGGGGCGAAAAGGGCGGCGACGCGGGUNNNNNNNNNNNNNNNNNNNNNNNNNNNNNNNNNNNNNNNNNNNNNNNNNNNNNNNNNNNNNNNNNNNNNNNNNNNNNNNNNNNNNNNNNNNNNNNNNNNNGAAAGAAGAAGAAGAAUAAGAAGAGAAGAGAGAGAGGAGGAGGAGAGGAGAAGGCCAAGGACCUUCUAGUCCUUCUCCUCCUUCUACUCCUUCUUCUUGAUUUCUUCUUCUUSUCCUCCUCCUCCUCUUUCUUCUCCUCUUUCAUAUUAUCCUUGCUUUAAUUUCCCMAMCAAUGACAUAAUUAGCCCACUUUAGCUCCAAAAUAGCCAUAAUAAGCUCAAAAUGGCAGAAGAACCUUGGUUAGCUCAUGAAUUAUUAUAUACUUAGCUUGUUUUCCUCUAAAAUUAGGAUWAUUAGCCCAUUUAGCUCCAGAAAGACAUAAUUAGGUAAUUUAGCUCCAACAAGAGGAGAAGAGGAGAAGAAAUAGGACRAAAUAGUAAAGAAAGAAGAAGAAGAAGAAGAAGAAGAGGAGAAGAAGAAGAAGAGAAGAAGGAGAAGGAGGAGGAGGAGGAGGAGGAGAAGGCCAAGGACCUUCUAGUCCUUCUCCUCCUCCUCCUUCUCCUCCUUCUCGUCCUUCUUMUUGAUUUCUUCUUCUUCUCCUCCUCAUCCUCUUUCUUCUCCUAUUUCAUAUUAUCCUUGCUUUAAUUUCCCCAACAAUGACAUAAUUAGCCCAUUUAGCUCCAAAAUACCAUAAUAAGCUCAAAACGGCAUAAGAACUUUGGUUAGCUCAUGAAUAUUAUAUACUUAGCUUGUUUUCCUCUAAAAUGGGAUAAUUAGCCCAUUUAGCUCCAAAAAGACAUAAUUAGGUAAUUUAGCUCCAACAAGAGGAGAAGAGGAGAAGAAAUAGGCAAAAUGAAAAGAAAGAAAGAAGAAGAAGAAUAAGAAGAGAAGAAGGAGAAGGAGGAGGAGGAGAAGGAGAAGGCCAAGGACCUUCUAGUCCUUCUCCUCCUUCUCCUCCUUCUUCUUGAUUUCUUCUUCUUCUCCUCCUMCUCCUCUUUCUUAUCCUCUUUCAUAUUAUCCUUGCUUUAAUUUCCCCAACAAYGACRURRUGUACGAGUGGUGUNNNNNNNNNNNNNNNNNNNNNNNNNNNNNNNNNNNNNNNNNNNNNNNNNNNNNNNNNNNNNNNNNNNNNNNNNNNNNNNNNNNNNNNNNNNNNNNNNNNNUAGUUAGUAGCUAGAUGGUUUCUUCUCUCUCUUGGAUCUUYAAUACAAAGUUCUCCAUGAUCUUCAUGGAGAUCUAUCCGAUGUAAUCCUCUUUGGCAGUGUGAUUGUCGAGAUCCGAUGAAUUGUGGAUUUGUGAUCAUAUUAUCUAUGAUAUAUAUUUGAGUCUUUGCUGAUUUCUUAUAUGCAUGAUUUGAUAUCCUUGUAAGUCUCUCCGAGUCUUGGGUUUUGUUUGGCCAACUAGAUCUAUGAUUCUUGCAAUGGGAGAAGUGCUUGGUUUUGGGUUCAUACCGUGUGGUGACCUUUCCCAGUGACAGAAGGGGCAGCAAGGCACACAGGAUGKUGUUGCCAUCAAGGGUAACAAGAUGGGCUUUUAUCGUAGAUAUGAGAUUGUCCAUCUACAUCAUGUCAUCUUGCUUAAGGCGUUACUCUGUUCUCAUGAACUUAAUACACUAGAUGCAUGCUGGAUAGCGGUCGACGUGUGGAGUAAUAGUAGUAGAUUCUGCGCGGUUCUGUCAAUUGCUCGACAGUAAUUCGUUCACCCACUGUCUACUUGCUUUCAUGAGAGAAGCCACUAGUGAACACUAUGGCCACANNNNNNNNNNNNNNNNNNNNNNNNNNNNNNNNNNNNNNNNNNNNNNNNNNNNNNNNNNNNNNNNNNNNNNNNNNNNNNNNNNNNNNNNNNNNNNNNNNNNUCCCUAAAGGCGUAGCCGUAGCAGAAGGAUUCCUGGUGCCGUUGCUGAGGAGUAUCAAGACAAGAACAGUCUCCCGUCAGCACGUGUUUCUGGCGCCGUUGGAAGGYYUUUGUUGCAGUAGCACCUGCCGGAGAGGACUUUGGAGUUGGAGGGCUUCUACAUCAACAUCAUCGCCCCUCCAAUGAGUCGUGAGUAGUUCACUUCAGACCUACGGGUCCGUAGUUAGUAGCUAGAUGGUUUCUUCUCUCUCUUGGAUCUUCAAUACAAAGUUCUCCAUGAUCUUCAUGGAGAUCUAUCCGAUGUAAUCCUCUUUGGCAGUGUGAUUGUCGAGAUCCGAUGAAUUGUGGAUUUGUGAUCAUAUUAUCUAUGAUAUAUAUUUGAGUCUUUGCUGAUUUCUUAUAUGCAUGUAUUUGAUACUCCUUAGUAAGUCUCUCCGAGUUCGUUUGGGUUUUGUUGGACCUAACUAGUAUCUAUGUAUUCUUGACAAGUGGGAGAAGUGUCGUUUGGUUUGGUUCAUACCGUGUGGUCGUACCUUUCCAGUGACGAGGAGGGCAGACAAGGCACGACGANNNNNNNNNNNNNNNNNNNNNNNNNNNNNNNNNNNNNNNNNNNNNNNNNNNNNNNNNNNNNNNNNNNNNNNNNNNNNNNNNNNNNNNNNNNNNNNNNNNNGACGAUGAUCUCGGCCUUCUUGAUCCAGCAAGAGAGACAGAGAGGUAGAUGAGUUCUCCGGCAGCGUGACGGCGCUCCGGAGGUUGGUGGUGAUCUAAUCUCAGCAGGGCUCCGCCCGAGCUCCGCAGAAACGCGAUCUAGAGGUAAAACCGUGGAGGUAUGUGGUCGGGCUGCCGUGGCAAAGUUGUCUCAAAUCAGCCCUAAAACCUCCGUAUAUAUAGGGGGAAGAGGGGGGGGCCUUGCCUUGGGGCUCAAGGGGCCCCAAGGGGGUCGGCCGANNNNNNNNNNACAUAUAUAGGGGGAAGAGGGGGGGCCUUGCCUUGGGGCUCAAGGGGCCCCAAGGGGGUCGGCCGAGCCAAGGGGGUGAGUCCUCCCCUUCCAAACCGAAUCCAACUAGGUUUGGAAGGAGGAGUCCUUCCCCCUUUUCCCACCUCCUCUUUUUUUUCUCUUUGAUUUUCUUCCUGUGGCGCAUAGAGCCUUCUUGGGCUGUCCCACCAGCCCACUAAGGGCUGGUGCGCCACCCCCAAGUCCUAUGGGCUUCCCCGGGGUGGGUUGGCCCCUCCCGGUGAACACCCGGAACCCAUUCGUCAUUCCCGGUACAUUCCCGGUAACUCCGAAAACCUUUCCGGUAAUCAAAUGAGGUCAUCCUAUAUAUCAAUCUUCGUUCCGGACCAUUCCGGAAACCCUGGUGACGUCCGUGAUCUCAUCCGGGACUCCAAACAACAUUCGGUAACCAACCAUAUAACUCAAAUACGCAUAAAACAACGUCGAACCUUAANNNNNNNNNNAUUUCCGGACCAUUCCGGAAACCCUCGUGACGUCCAUGAUCUCAUCCAGGACUCCGAACAACAUUCCAUAACCAACCAUAUAACUCAAAUACGCAUAAAACAACGUCGAACCUUAAGUGUGCAGACCCUGCGGGUUCGAGAACUAUGUAGACAUGACCCAAGUGACUCCUUGGUCAAUAUCCAAUAGAGGGACCUGGAUGCCCAUAUUGGAUCCUACAUAUUCUACGAAGAUCUUAUCGUUUGAACAUCAGUGCCAAGGAUUCAUAUAAUCCCGUAUGUCAUUCCCUUUGUCCUNNNNNNNNNNNNNNNNNNNNNNNNNNNNNNNNNNNNNNNNNNNNNNNNNNNNNNNNNNNNNNNNNNNNNNNNNNNNNNNNNNNNNNNNNNNNNNNNNNNNCGGUGAUGCAGCACAGGAGAAGUAAAUAUGUCCCUUAGUUUGAGAACCAAGGUAUCGAUCCAGAAGGAGGGUCUCGUCAAGUCCAGAGUACCUGCGCAAACAUAAACAAGCUUGCACCCAACGCUUCAAAGGGGUUGUCAAUCCCUUCAAGAUUGUUUGCAAAGUGAGAUCUGAAGGCAGAAAGUGCAACGAAGUAAAAAGUGUAAGGCUGAAAAUAUGGUGUGGAGUAGACCCUCGGGGCCAUAGUAUUCACUAGAGGCUCCUCUCAAAAUAGCAAGUAUUACGGUGGGUGAACAAAUUACUGUCGAGCAAUUGAUAGAACCGCGCAAAGUCAUGACUAUAUCUAAGGCAAUGAUCAUACAUAUAGGCAUCACGUCCGAGACAAGUAGACCGAUACUUUCUGCAUCUACUACUAUUACUCCACACAUCGACCGCUAUCCAGCUUGCAUCUAGUGUAUUGAGUUCAUGAAGAAGAGAGUAACGCUUUAAACAAGAUGACAUGAUGUAGAGGGACAAUCUCAAACCACUGAUGAGAACCCCAUCUUUUUACCCUUGAUGGCAACAACACGAUACGUGCCUCGCUACCCCUUCUGUCACUGGAUGAGGUCACCACACGGUAUGAACCCAAAACCAAGCACUUCUCCCAUUGCANNNNNNNNNNGCAAGAUGACAUGAUGUAGAGGGAUAAUCUCAAACCACUGAUGAAAACCCCAUCUUUUUACCCUUGAUGGAAACAAUACGAUACGUGCCUCGCUACCCCUUCUGUCACUGGGUGAGGUCACCGCACGGUAUUAACCCAAAACCAAGCAGUUCUCCCAUUGCAAGAAUCAUAAAUCUAGUUGGCCAGACAAAACCCACAACUCGAAGAGAAUUACAAGGAUNNNNNNNNNNGAUAGAGUAACGCUUUAAGCAAGAUGACAUGAUGUAGAGAGACAAUCUCAAACCAAUGAUGAAAACCCCAUAUUUUUACCCUUGAUGGCAACAACACGAUACGUGCCUUGCUACCCCUUCUGUCACUGGGUGAGGUCACCGCACGGUAUGAACCCAAAACCAAGCACUUUUCCCAUUGCAAGAAUCAUAGAUCUAGUUGGCCAGACAAAACCCACAACUCGAAGAGAAUUACAAGGAUAUGAAAUCAUGCAUAAGAGAGAUCAGAAGAAACUCAAAUAAGAUUCAUAGAUAAUCUGAUCAUAAAUCCACAAUUCAUCGGAUCUCGACAAACACACCGCAAAAGUAGAUUACAUCGGAUAGAUCUCCAUGAAGAUCAUGGAGAACUUUGUAUUGNNNNNNNNNNNNNNNNNNNNNNNNNNNNNNNNNNNNNNNNNNNNNNNNNNNNNNNNNNNNNNNNNNNNNNNNNNNNNNNNNNNNNNNNNNNNNNNNNNNNGCUAUGCUCCAUCAUCCUCACACAACUAAUGUAAAUCAUGCACAACCCCGGAAUUAGCCAAGUAAUUGUUUUCGCACUCUUACUUCUCAAACUUUUUAUACCUAUCACGCAAUACAUGAGCGCGAGACAUGGAUAUAGCACUAUAGGUGGAAUAGAGUGUGGUUGUGGUUGCGAGACGAAAAGGGAGGAGAUGGUCACAUUGACUCGGCGUAUCAAUAGGCUAUGGAGAUGCCCAUUAAUAGAUAUCAAUGUGAAUGAGUAGGGAUUGCCAUACAAGAGAUGCACUAGAGCUAUAGGUAUAUGAAAGCUCAAAAGGAAAACUAGUGGGUGUGCAUCCAACUUGCUUUCUCACGAAGACCUAGGGCAAUUUUGAGGAAGCCCAUAAUUGGAAUAUAUAAGCCAAGUUAUAAAACGAAGAUUCCCACUAGAAUAUGGUAGUGACAAGGCAAGAAGCUCUCAAUCAUGAAGAACAUGGUGCUAUUAUGAAGCAGAAGUGUGGAAAAAGAUAGUAGCAUUGUCCCUUCUCUCUUUUUCUCUCCCUUUUUUUAUUUGGGCUCUUAGGCCUCUUUUUUUAUUUUCUUUUCUUUUCUCUUUCUUUGUUUUUGGGCUCUUUGGACUCUUUUUUUAUUUCCUCACAUGGGACAAUGCUAUAAUAAUGAUGAUCAUCACACUUUUAUUUAUUCACAGCUCGAAGAUCACAAUGAUGAUGACUCCAUAGGAAAUGCCUCCGGCAGUGUACCGGGAUGUGCAACGAUCUAGUAUGAUCAUGCAAUGGCAAUAUGAGAGUGAUGGCACAAGUCAUGAGACGGAACGGUGGUAGUUGCAUGGCAAUAUAUCUCGGAAUGGCUAUGAAAAUGCCAUAGUAGGUAGGUAUGGUGGCUGUCUUGAGGAAGGAAUUUUGUGGGUUUGCGCACCGGCGAGAAUUGCGCGGCACUAGAGAGGCUAGCUAUGGUGGAAGGUGAAAGUGCAUCUAUACCAUGGACUCAACAUUAGUCAUAAAGAACUCACAUACUUGUUGCAAAAGUUUUUAAUAGUAAUUGAAACAAAGUGCUAAAUGCAUGCUCCGAGGGGAAGGGUUGGUAGGUGUAAACCAUCGCACGAUCCCGACCUCAACACAAAGGAUGACAAUCAAUAGAUCAAUUAUGCUCGGACUUCCUAACAUAGCGGUUCACCAUACGUGCAUGCUACGGGAAUCACUAACUUCAACAAAAGUAUUUCUAGAUUCACAACACCCUACUAACAUAGCUUUUAAUAUUACCGAAUCCAUGUCUCAAAACUAAUUGAGAGGAAUCGAAACUUCUCUUUCUACUCAAUGCACAUGAAGAUGGAGCUUUUUGCAUCCUCUUUGGGUACCUAGCACAUGGGAAUACUUUCAUAGCAUAAGGCAACUACAAAAUCACGCACCUACGUGCUCUAAAGAUAUAAGUGAAGCACAUGAGCAGAAGUAUCUAGCUCAAAAGAUAUAAGUGAAGCACAUGAGCAAAAGUAUCUAGCUGAAAAGAUAUAAGUGAAGCUCAUUGAGCAUUCUAGCAAAAUCACGAUGAGUGCAUGUCUCUCUCUCUNNNNNNNNNNNNNNNNNNNNNNNNNNNNNNNNNNNNNNNNNNNNNNNNNNNNNNNNNNNNNNNNNNNNNNNNNNNNNNNNNNNNNNNNNNNNNNNNNNNNNNNNNNNUGGAUUGAAGACGAAAGAGGGGAUGCCUUCCCGGGGCAUCCCCAAGAUUAGGCUUUUUGGUGUCCUUGAAUUUGGCUUGGGGUGCCUUGGGCAUCCACAAGCUUGAGCUCUUUCCACUCCUUAUCUCUUUGUCCAUGAGAACAACACCCAAAACUUGAAAACCUCACGACACAAAACUUAAACAGAAACUUGUGAUAACAUUAGUACAAGAAAACAAACUACCACUUCUUUUGNNNNNNNNNNCCAAGCACGAGCUCUUUCAACUCCUUAUCUCUUUGUCCAUGAGAACAUCACCCAAAACUUGAAAACUUCACAACACAAAACUUAAUCAAAAACUUGUGAUAACAUUAGUACAAGAAAACAAACUACCACUUCUUUUGGUACUGUAGCAAACUUGAAUUCUAUAUAUAUUGAUAAUGGGCUACUGUAUUCUCACUUUUCCAUGGCUAGUACCCCCCGAUACUAACCAUAGUUUCAUCAAAACAAGCAACCAACUCAACAAAAACAGAAUUUGUCAAAAUCAGACCAAUCUGUAGCAAUCUGUAUACUUCGUAUACUUCUGGUACCUCAAAAAAUCUGAAACAUUACGAAGGUCUGGGAAAAAGUCAUAUCAAUCAUGAUAAAAAAGAAUCAACUCAAAAUAUCUUUCUGAAUAAAAAUGAAAAAUCAUCUCGUGAGCGAAAUGUUUCUGUCUUUUUCCAGCAGGAUCAAACAACCAUUACGAAGACUAGUCAUAAAGGUUUUGCUUGGCUCAAACACAAAAAGAAACACUCAAACACAAAAAGAAACACAAAAAACACAAUCACAACAGAAUUAUGAAAGUGUGGACGCAACAAAACAGAAAUAAAAAGAUAANNNNNNNNNNNNNNNNNNNNNNNNNNNNNNNNNNNNNNNNNNNNNNNNNNNNNNNNNNNNNNNNNNNNNNNNNNNNNNNNNNNNNNNNNNNNNNNNNNNNCAAUCUUAUUUUCUUUCUAGGAAAGUGUUCCAUGCCCUUAUUUAAAGGAAAUUGAAAUCUAAUAUCCUCUUCCUUCAUAUCGAUGAUAGCACCAAUAGUCCUUAGAAAAGGUCUACCAAGAAUAAUAGGGCAUGUAGGAUUGCAAUCAAUGUCAAGCACAAUGAAAUCCACGGGUACAUAGUUCCUAUUUGCAAUAACAAGAACAUCAUUGAUCCUUCCCAUAGGUUUCUUGACAGUAGAAUCAGCAAGAUGCAAAUUAAGAGAACACUCUUCAAUCUCAUUAAAACCCAAAACAUCACAUAAAGAUUUUGGAAUCGCAGAAACACUAGCAUCCAAAUCACACAAAGCAUUACACUCAUAGUUUUUUAUUUUGAUUUUGAUGGUAGGUUCCCACUCAUCAUGAAUCUUUCUAGGGAUAGAUACUUCCAAUUCAAGUUUCCCUUCAAGAGCUUUUAUCAUAGCUUCGACGNNNNNNNNNNGAACAUCACAUAAAGACUUUGGAAUCGCAGAAACACUAGCAUCCAGAUAACACAAAUCAUUGCACUCAUAGUUUUUGAUUUUGAUUUUGAUGGUAGGUUCCCAAUCAUCAUGAAUCUUUCUAGGGAUAGAGACUUCCAAUUCAAGUUUCCCUUCAAGAGCUUUUAUCAUAGCUUCGACGAUAUGAUCGGUAAAAGCUUUGUUUUGGCUACAGGCGUGCAGAGAGUUCAACAUGGAUUGCAUCAAAGAAAUGAAUUCAAUCGAGGAGGAACUAUCAUAAUUGAAUUCCUUGAAAUCCACGGUAGUAAUUUCAUUACUACUCAAAGUUUUAACGUCUUCUACUCCAGUNNNNNNNNNNGAGCUUUGUUUUGGCUAUAGGCGUGCAGAGAGUUCAACAUGGAUUGCAUCGAAGAAAUGCAUUCAAUCAAGGAGAAACUAUCAUAAUUGAAUUCCUUGAAAUCCAUGGUAGUAAUUUCAUUACUACUCAAAGUUUUAACGUCUUCUACUCCAGUUUUAAUGCUUUUACCAUCAAGAUAGAUGGACUCCGAAUCAUAGGGGCACUUUUCAACCAAAGUGGAUUCAUAUCCAGCCCCAUAAUCAUUAGGUUUGACACAAGAAAACAAAGAUUCAAUAGGAUUCACACCAAGCACUUUAUGAUCUUCGUGAUUCUCAUCACGAGAACACGCCUUUUUAAGCCAUUCAUGUCUAGCACGAAUUUGGGCGGUUCUUUCUUGGAUCUCAAUCAUGGAAACACGCAUAGCUUUCAAAGUUUCAUCCAUGUUGAAUUUGGGAGGAGCACAUCUAACUUUCAAAGCAUCAACAUCACAAGAAAUCCUAUCCACGCUCUUAGCCAAAUCAUCAAUUUUGAGUAGUUUUUCCUCUAUGGACGCAUUGAAAAUCUUUUGAGAGUUGAUGAACUCUUUGAUAUUACUCUCUAGAUCAGAGGGUAAUCUAUUGUAAUUUCCAUGAGUAUUGUUGUAGGAGUUGCCAAAAUUAUUAGAGGAGUUACUAGGAAAAGACCUAGGAACAUAGUUUUCUCUAAAAGCAUUGUUGUUGCCAAAAUUAUUCCUACCAACAAAAUUAACGUCCAAGCUAGUGUUGCUAAUAUCAAUCAAAGAAGACAAAGUCAUAUCAUUAGGAUCCAAAGGAGCACUUCUACUAGCAACCAAAUUCAUUAACUCAUCCAUCGUAGCACUCAACGAGUUAAUUUCUUCUAUAACGUGUACCUUCUUACUAGUAGGUGACCUUUUAGUGUGCCAUUGAGAGUAGUUUGUCAUGAUGUUGUCUAAGAGCUUUGUGGCUUCUCCUAACGUGAUUUCCAUGAAUGUUCCACCUCAGGCGGGGUCCAAGAUAUUUCUAGAAGCGAAAUUCAAGCCAGUGUAAAAGAUUUGAAUAAUCAUCCAAAGGUUUAAGCCAUGAGCGGGACAAUUUAUAAUCAUUAAUUUCAUUCUCUCCCAAGCUUGUGCAACAUGCUCAUGAUCAUGUUGCUUGAAAUUCAUGAUAUCAUUACGGAGAGAGAUGAUCGUAGCCGGCGGAAAAUACUUGGAUAUAUAAGCAUCUUUGCACUUAUCACAAGAAUCGAUACUAUUUUUGGGCAAAGAAGAAAACCAAGUUUUUACGCGAUUUCGCAACCAGAAAGGAAAAAGCUUCAAUUUAAUCACGUCAUUAUCCACAUCUUUUUUCUUUUGCAUAUUGCAAAGCUCAAUGAAGGUAUUGAGAUGGGAUGCGACAUCUUCACUAGGAAGGCCAGAGAAUUGUUCUUUCAUAACAAGAUUCAGCAAAGCGGCAUUGAUUUCGUAUGACUCCACACUUGUGGCGGGAGCAAUCGGAGUACUAAUAAAAUCAUUAUUAUUAGUAUUCGAGAAGUCACAAAGUUUUGUGUUUUCGUUCAUGGUGACUUCAGCAAGCAAGCAAGCACACAAGCAAACAAAAAGCCGGCGAGAAAAAGGGCGAACGAAAAAGGCAAAUUGGUGAAGUGGGGGAGAGGAAAACGAGAGGCAACUGGCAAACAAAGUAAAUGCAAGAGAUAAGUUUGCGACACUUACUUGGAUGAGUUCUUGACUUGAUCUUCCUCCCCGACAACAGCGCCAGAAAUCCUUCUACUACUUUUCAAACAACAGCGCCAGAAAUUGACACGUUGACGGAGAUUGGGCUUGCGUUGGUUUUUCCCUUGAAGAGGAAAGGGUGAUGCAACACAGGAGAAGUAAAUAUGUCCCUCAGUUUGAGAACCAAGGUAUCGAUCCAGAAGGAGGGUCUCAUCAAGUCCAGAGUACCUGCGCAAACAUAAACAAGCUUGCACCCAACGCUUCAAAGGGGUUGUCAUUCCCUUGAAGAUUGUUUGCAAAGUGAGAUCUGAAGGCGGAAAGUGCAACGAAGUANNNNNNNNNNNNNNNNNNNNNNNNNNNNNNNNNNNNNNNNNNNNNNNNNNNNNNNNNNNNNNNNNNNNNNNNNNNNNNNNNNNNNNNNNNNNNNNNNNNNCAUUGUUGUUUAUGUAUCCACACAUGUAUAUGAGUUUCCGGUCAAUACAAUUCUAGCAUGGAUAAUAAAUGAUUAUCAUAAACAAGGAAAUAUAAUAAUAACCAAUUUAUUAUUGACUCUAGGGUAUAUUUCCAACACAUGGAGCCCAGCGACUCCGUCACCGCGUCAGCGGACUCCAUCCCACCCUGACAUGGAUCCCAGCGCGCGUCCGCGACCGCGUCAGCCGACUCCACCCCGCGGCCUCGAGAUGGAGCCCAGCGCGCGUACGCGGUCAUUUCUUUUUUUGAUGAGGAACCGGAGUCCAAAGCGAAAGAGAGCUUAUUAUGAACAAGUAAAUAUGAUAAUAAUCAAUUUAUUAUUGCCUCCAAGACAUAUUUCUAUAGCUUGUGUUGACAUGGUUUUUGACCAAAAAUAAAAUAAGUGCGCAUACUAAACUAAAAGUUAAAUAAAUUCAAAACGACAAAAAUCCGCUUUGUAUUGGAAAGAAACAAUUUAAAAAUAAUAAAAUAAACCGCUCGUAAAAUAAAUCAAUAAUGAUAUUAUAUAUUCCCGGAUGUUGAUAUUGCACACACUGAAAAAGAGCCGAUUAUAAGUAUGACGAAACAAGGAAUACUCAUCAAGUUUCUGUCCUAAGGAAAUUACAAAGGAGAGAGAACUAAUCAGGCCUAGCCCAAGAUGGUUACGUGCAUGCGUAUGCGUUGCCUCAUCCAUAGAAAAACCCUAUUUGACGUUUUUUGCGUCAUUUUUUUUAGACAAUCUCGCAAAGCUUUUAUUCAACCGUCACAAGGUUUNNNNNNNNNNNNNNNNNNNNNNNNNNNNNNNNNNNNNNNNNNNNNNNNNNNNNNNNNNNNNNNNNNNNNNNNNNNNNNNNNNNNNNNNNNNNNNNNNNNNUCGGUAACAUUACUUGGAGCUAUAUUUUUAUUCACCACAUGAUAUGUGCUUUGCUUGGAGCAUCUUGUAUCAUAGGAGUCUUUUCUUUCUGUUGUGUGACAAUCAUCCUUGUGCACACCUUUUUGAGAGAGAGAGACAUGCACUCAUCGUGAUUUUGCUAGAAUGCUCAAUGANNNNNNNNNNNNNNNNNNNNNNNNNNNNNNNNNNNNNNNNNNNNNNNNNNNNNNNNNNNNNNNNNNNNNNNNNNNNNNNNNNNNNNNNNNNNNNNNNNNNNNNNNNNNNNNNNNNNNNNNNNNNNNNNNNNNNNNNNNNNNNNNNNNNNNNNNNNNNNNNNNNNNNNNNNNNNNUUGCUCAUGUGCUUCACUUAUAUCUUUAGAGCACGGAGGUGCGUGAUUUGGUAGUUGCCUUAUGCAAUGAAAGUAGUCCCAUGUGCUAGGUACCCAAAGAGGAUGCAAAAAGCUCCAUCUUCAUNNNNNNNNNNNNNNNNNNNNNNNNNNNNNNNNNNNNNNNNNNNNNNNNNNNNNNNNNNNNNNNNNNNNNNNNNNNNNNNNNNNNNNNNNNNNNNNNNNNNNNNNNNNNNNNNNNNNNNNNNNNNNNNNNNNNNNNNNNNNNNNNNNNNNNNNNNNNNNNNNNNNNNNNNNNNNNNNNNNNNNNNAUGUUGUGAAUCUAGAAAUACUUGUGUUGAAGUUAGUGAUUCCCGUAGCAUGCAUGUAUGGUGAACCGCUAUGUUAGGAAGUCCGAGCAUAAUUGAUCUGUUGAUUGUCAUCCUUUGUGUUAAGGUCGGGAUCGCGCGAUGGUUUACACCUACCAACCCUUCCCCUCGGAGCAUGCGUUUAGCACUUUGUUUCGAUUACUAUUGAAAAGUUUUGCAACAAGUAUGUGAGUUAUUUAUGACUAAUGUUGAGUCCAUGGUAUAGAUGCACUUUCACCUUCCANNNNNNNNNNNNNNNNNNNNNNNNNNNNNNNNNNNNNNNNNNNNNNNNNNNNNNNNNNNNNNNNNNNNNNNNNNNNNNNNNNNNNNNNNNNNNNNNNNNNAGUAACAAAGCAAAGUAAAAGCAAAAGUGGAAACGAUAGGUGUGAAUAGACCCGAGGGCCGUAGUGUUCACUAGUGGCUUCUCUCAUGAAAGCAAGUAGAUAGUGGGUGAACAAAUUAUUGUCGAUCAAUUGAUAGAACCGCGCAAAGUCGUGACGUCAUCUAAGGCAAUGAUUAUAUCUAUAGGCAUCACGUCCAAAACAAGUAGACCGAUACUUUCUGCAUCUACUACUAUUACUCCACACGUCGACCGCUAUCCAACAUGCAUCUAGUGUAUUAAGUCCAAAAGAACAGAGUAACGCCUUAAGCAAGAUGACAUGAUGUAGAUGGACAAUCUCAUAUCCACGACAAAGCCCAUCUUGCUACCCUAGAUGGCAACUACACGAUGUGUGCCUUGCUGCCCCUACUAUCACUUGGAAAGGUCACCACAUGGUAUGAACCCAAAACCAAGCACUUCUCCCAUUGCAAGAAUCAUAGAUCUAGUUGGCCAAACAAAACCCAAGACUCGGAGAGACUUACAAGGAUAUCAAAUCAUGCAUAUAAGAAAUCAGCAAAGACUCAAAUAUAUAUCAUAGAUAAUCUGAUCACAAAUCCACAAUUCAUCGGAUCUCGACAAUCACACCGCCAAAGAGGAUUACAUCGGAUAGAUCUCCAUGAAGAUCAUGGAGAACUUUGUAUUGAAGAUCCAANNNNNNNNNNNNNNNNNNNNNNNNNNNNNNNNNNNNNNNNNNNNNNNNNNNNNNNNNNNNNNNNNNNNNNNNNNNNNNNNNNNNNNNNNNNNNNNNNNNNGACUCGUAGUACGUGCAUAUAACUUGCAAGAUCGGAUCAAGAACAUAGAUAUAAUGGUGAAAACAUAAAUGGUUCAGAUCUGAAAUCAUGGCACUCGGGCCCUAGUGACAAGCAUUAAGCAUAGCAAAGUCCUAGCAACAUCUAUCUCCGAACAUAGUGAACACUAGGGAUCAAGCCCUAACAAACUAACUCGAUUACAUGAUGAAUCUCAUCAGCUCUUCACCGACCAGCAAGCCUAUGAAGGUACUACUCACUCUCGAUGGAGAGCAUCAUGUAAUUGGCGAUGGAGGAGGGUUGGUGAUGACGAAGGCCGAAGAUUCCCCUCUCCGGAGCCCCAAACAGACUCCAGAUUAGGCCUCCUGAUGAAGAAAAUGAGGUGGCGGCGGAUCCAUAUCGUGAAACAUGAUGAAACUUUUCUCUGAUUUUUGUCCUUCAAAAAUAGGAAUUUAUAGCACUGGAAUUAGGGUCAGCGGAGCCACGUGGGCCCCACUAGACACCUGGUCAUGUCACGGCGGCCUAGCGCACUGUGAUGUCUAGUGGGCGCGUGUGGCCUCCCCUCCGGUGGAUCUUGGUUCUAGUAUUUUUUAUAUAUUCCAGAAAAAAUCUCCAAAAAGUUUUAUUCGAUUCCAAGAACUUUUAUUUCUGCACAAAAACGACACCAUGGUAGUUCUUCUGAAAACAGUGUGAGUCCGGGUUAGUUUCAUUCAAAUCAUGCAAAUUAGAGUCCAAAACAAGAGCAAAAGCGUUAGGAAAAGUCGAUACGAUGGAGACGUAUCAACUCCCCCAAGCUUAACCCAUUGCUUGUCCUCAAGCAAUUCAGUUGACAAACUGAAAGUGAUAAAUAAAAACUUUUACGAACUCUUUUGUUCUUGUUUACAUAUACAUGCUUUGAGAGCACCCAGGUUUUCAGCACAAAUCAUAACUAAUCAUAUCGAUAAUAACCCUUAGAAGUUAUAUUAGCUCAUAUCAAUGUUAUAAUCAACCAGCAAGCAAUAAUAAGAUAUCUCAAACAUCUACAAUUUGUCAAAACAAUCAUGAUAUAAUAUGACUAUAAUGGUAUCUCGCUAUCCCUUUCUAAGACCGCAAAACAUACAUCCAGGACACCUCCAAAGUUCAAGCAGCGACUAGACAUUGUAAUUCUUGGUAAAAGAGAUCCGUUCAUACUGCAAACAAUUAUUAACUAGACAUAAAGCAUGAGGAUGACACCAGUGCUCUUGGGUCUGGUACUUAUUUGAAAAGGUGAUGACUCAAAGUAAAAACAAAAUAACAUGAAAGUAAAUAGAAAGUCCCUUCAUAGAGGGAAGCAUGGAUUUGCAAAGGUGCGAGAGCUCAUAGUGAAAGUAAGAUAUAAAUUAUUUUUGGGAGGUGCACCCUUCGUGUCAACGUUAUGACCAAAAGUUAUCGAUAUCUUCCAUAAUAAAGAAAUUAGGGACGGUUCCCAAGCGGUAAAGUAAAGGUUUACCCCCCCCCCCCCCCCCCCNNNNNNNNNNNNNNNNNNNNNNNNNUUCCCCCCCCCCCCCCCCUCCACCAAUCAAGCACACUCCAAGGCUAGCCUAAUCCAUGGGUGUCGUCCAUAAGAACAACAAUCCAGGGGUUUUGUUUAAUUAUUUGCGAUUUAUGAUUCGGGAUUGGGAGUCCCUUUUUUGCCUGCCCCUCUUGUUCAAGGACAAUGAAUAAACACGUAUCAUGAUAAUAAUCCUCCUAGCAUGGAAGAUACAAACCACCUUCUAUCGCUCCGUGAGCAGAUGAGGCACACAAAACAAAAGUUCAUUUGAAAUAUUAGAGGUGGCACAUGCACAUUUACUUGGAACGUGAGGGUAAUACCGCAUAUAGGUAGGUAUAGUGGACUCAUCUGGAAUAACUUUGUUUCAAGGAUUUUGAUGCACAAGUAGUAUUCACGCUUAGUACAGGCGAAGGCUAGCAAAUAGGUUGGGAAGCGACCAGCUAGAGAGCGAAGACGGUCAUGAACAUGCUUUAUGAAUAAUCAUCGUUGCAUACUAGCAUGAGUAGGAUAUAAACACCAUGAACAUAAAUAUCGUGGAGGCUAUGUUGGUUUUGAUUCAACUACAUGCGUGAACAUGUGCCAAGUCAAGCCACUCAAAUUAUUCAGAGGAGGAUACCAUAUCAUCAGACUACAUCACAACCAUUUCAAUGCAUGUUGACCUCCAAGAUAAAUCAUUAUCCACUCCUAGCUACUUAAGCAUGACAUGAACAACUAUAAUCUCUAAUUGUCAUUACGAACAUGUUUGAUCAUAAUACGUCGAAUCAUGGAUACUCGUCUAAACAUAUUUACAAAAACAAAAACAAGUUGAGUUCAUACCCGCUUCUCUUUGCCACAGUCACUUCAUCAAAUAUCAUCAUUAUUGCCCUUCACUUGCACGACCGAACGAUAUAAAAAUAAUAAUAGUGCAAGAGUGCCAUGGACUAAGCUGGAAUCUGCAACAUUUUAUUCAACCGGAGAAGAUAAAGUAAUAGGGCUCUUCAUUAGAUCAAUAACAAUGCAUAUGAGAGCCACUCAAUAUUUUCAUCAUGGUCUUCCGCUUGGGUAAAACUCAAAGAAGGGAAAAGAAAUUCAUAGAAACACACUAAAAUAUUUUUGGAGUUUUUAGUUUUUCAAGAAGAAAGCAAAAGAAGGGAAAACUAAAAAGAGAAAAAUAUUUAUACGGGAAAGCUCCCAACAAGUAAGAGAGAAUAAAAGAGAAAUCUUUUUGGGUUUUAUUUUAAUACUACAACUAAAUUACGCUAGGAAGAAAACCCAAAAAAAAGUGAGAAAUAUUUUUAGAUUUUCUGCAAGUUUUUCAAACACACAAGAAGAAGGCGAGAGAACAAAUCUAACAAGGAUAGUACCAUGCAAGCGUGUGAACACCGACAACAAGAAUAUACAAUCAUGAAUGUAAAGUCAGUGGAAACACGUAUUCUCCCAAGCUUAGGCUUUUGGCCUAGCUUGGUAAUCACCAUUCGUGGUAGCCUGGGUAAUAGUUAGUGUGGUAACUCAUUGAAAUCCUUGGUGUAGCCUCUGCGGCGUGAUGGGCAACCUCCACUGCCGCGUUAUACUCAUGCGCCUCCCUCUCAUGGACAUGAUAACUUCCUUUUUCCUGAUAAUCAAAGAGGGAAGGUGCAGACAAAAUAACAGGCACAAUAGAUUUCUUAUUAAACAUUAGGUUGUAGUUAUAAUCAGUAGCGGUGGGCUCUAUGAACUUAUGGCACUUCAUGGCCUCAAAGUCUAAAUACCGAGUAGGAAGAAUAGGGUCGCUAGACCGCGGUGACACGCCACACUUCUUAGCUAAACGACAGGCAUAAACCCCGCCAUAAAAAUAACCACUAUCAGAAUUGCGUUGCUCCGUGAUUAUAGCAUUUAAUUCCAGUUAAUGCAGUAUCUAGGAGACUCAAGUCUGGGGCACAUAAAGUACUACAAUCUUGCUAGCCCACUAUGCAUUUUCCAUUAAAGGGUGUCGGGUAACGAAUUGAAGGAAAAUGUAUACUACUUAUUAUGCCAUGAGUUACUCCCAUAUCUUCGCCAAAGCAAAGACUAGUUAAAAUGUCUCAUAUUCAGAUUUUGGUGGUUCGUCUAACGAACCCCAUCGUGGAAUUUUACAUGCAUGAGAGAAAUCAUCUAGAGACAUAGUGAAUGCAUUUUCGUAGGGGACAUUUCCAUUUUUUCCCUAACUUUGGCCCGACCUCAUCUUUACCCCAAAAUAAAAAUAGUGCUCAAUUAUACCCCUCUUUCGUCUGAUGCCCUACUGGAAAUACCCCUACGUGCCAUUUUUCGUCCGAUCAAAGGGGUUUGACCAUCAACUGGACAUUUUUUGGACAUUUUUACCCCUCACAAAAACUAUAAAAAGUGAAACAAAAGAAGAAAAAAAGGCAGAGAGAAUCUUACCUGUAGCCGGCCCAUGUUGCCAGCCGAGCACACCACCGUUGCCCAUCGUCAUCUUCAACCUCGCGCCCGAAAAUACAAGGGCGUGUAGAGGUCGUGCACACCGCCGCCUCCUACACAGCCACCGCACUCUCCAUGUCGUCUAACAUGUGCAGAAGCUCCCUCCGAGCUUCGCCAAGUCCCCACAAUGAAGCGCAUGAGCCGGGGGGAACCGCAUUGUCGCCUUCAUCGUCAUCUUCACCGCCGACCGCCGAAGAUUGCCAUCGCUGAUUUGUCAUCGUGAUAGCUCCCUCAACCCAGUCGACCUGCCCAUUAGAACCGUUGUGAUCCAUUGCAUGUCCCCCCCUUUUAAUUUUCUUGUUCCCAUGCCAUAUUGUUGUUCCCCGCGAGAUCCGAAGCUGUAGUCCGCCAUUGACGAAGAACCCAAGCACCUCAAGCUUGACUUGGCCUGUUUUGCUGUCCAACAUGCUCGUGGAGCUCCUAGGAUGCCUCGAAGCCGCUCAACCUCCUCGCCCAUGACCAGUUGCGACUUCUCCAUCGAGCCCGUGCAUGUGCAGCCGCAAACUCUCAUCAUCGGCAACGAUUCAGUACAGUCACAUCAGCCUGAUGACCCACAAGUGUAGGGCAUCUAUCUUAGUCCUUUCGAUAAGUAAGAGUGUCGAACCCAACGAGGAGCAGAAGGAUCUGACAAGUGAUUUUCACCAAGGUAUUCUCUGCAAGCACUGAAAUUAUCGGUAACAGAUAGUUGUGCGGAAAGAUGAUUCGUAGCAAGUAGCAAGUAACAAGUAUCAAUAGUAACAAAGGUGCAGCAAAGUGGCCCAAUCCCUUUUGUAGCAAGGGACAAGCCUGGACGAACUCUUAUAAGAGGUAAAGCACUCCCGAGGACACAUGGGAAUUUCUGUCAAGCUAGUUUUAAUCAAGUUCAUAUGAUUCGUGUUCGCUACUUUGAUAGUUUGAUAUGUGGGUGGACCGGUGCUUGGGUGCUUCCCUUACUUGGACAAACAUCCCACUUAUGAUUAACCCCUCUCGCAAGCAUCCGCAACUACGAAAGAAGAAUUAAGACAAAGUCUAACCAUAGCAUUAAACUAGUGGAUCCAAAUCAGGCCCUUACGAAGCAACGCAUAAACUAGGGUUUAAGCUUAUGUCACUCUAGCAACCCAUCAUCUACUUACUACUUCCCAACGCCUUCCUCUAGGCCCAAAUAAUGGUGAAGUGUUAUGUAGUCGACGUUCACAUAACACCACUAGAGUAAAAACAACAUAAAACGCAUCAAAAUAUCGAAUGAAUACCAAAUUCACAUGACUACUUAUAGCAUGACUUAUCCCAUGUCCUCAGGAACAAAAGUUACUACUCACAAAGCAUAAUUAUGUUCACGAACAAAGAGGUAUUGAAUAGAAUCAAGGAUCUGAACAUAUAAUCUUCCACCGAGUAAUCCAACUAGCAUCGACUACAAAGAGUAAUUAACACUACUAGCAACCUUACAAGUACCAAUCGGAGUCGUGAGACGGAGAUUGGUUACAAGAGAUGAACUAGGGUUUGGAGAUGAGAUGGUGCUGAUGAAGAUGUUGAUGGUGAUGAGACCCCUCCGAUGAGAGGAGUGUUGGUGAUGACGAUGGCGACGAUUUCCCCUUCCCAGAGGGAAGUUUCCCCGGCAGGACGACCCUGCCGGAGCUCUAGAUUGGUUCUGCUCAAGUUCCGCCUCGUGGCGGCGGCGAUUCCUCCCGAAAGCCUCCUCCUGAUUUUUUCGGGAACGAAACCCUCCUUAUAGCAAAAGAGGGGAGCCAGAGGGCCAACAGGGAGCCCAGAAGCCCCCUAGGCACGGUGAGGGGGUAGGCCGCGCCUAGCAGGCUUGUGGCCUCAUGGUGGCUCCCCUCUGGUACUUCUUCAGCCCAGUAUUUUUUAUAAAUUCCAAACUAAUUCCUCGUUGAUUUUCACGGCUUUUGGAGUUGUGCGGAAUAGGUAUCUCAAACUUGCUCCCUUUUCAGGCCAGAAUUCCAGCUGUCGGCAUUCUCCCUCUUCAUGUAAACCUUGCAAAAUAAGAGAGAAAAGGCAUAAGUAUUGUACCGUGAAGUGUAAUAACAGCCAAUAAAGCGAUAAAUAUCAACAUAAAAGCAUGAUGCAAAAUGGACGUAUCAACUCCCCCAAGCUUAGACUUCGCUUGUCCUCAAGCGGAAACCGACAUCAAUAAAUAUGCCCACAUGUUUAGAGAGAGAGGUGUCGACUAAACAAGAUAUGGACAUGCACGCAUCAUGAUCAUAAUCAGAACAGCAAUAUCAUCAUAUAAUCUCUUAUGCUAAAGUGAUAAUUCCUUCACAAAGUAAAGUAUGGAUCAAGAACUUUAUUGAGAAUUAGCAACCAAUAGCCUUUAGUCACUGAAGCAAUUGCAAUUUAUCAUAGCAUCGGAAAGAUUCAAAUAAGAGCUUGUAAAGAAAAUCAACAUACUCAAUCAUCCUUUUGUCUUCUACAAUUGCUACAACUCACGUGGUACUCAUGAGAUCAAAGUUUCAGUCAGACACAGAGAAAGAUAGGCGCUUAUAGUUUUGCCUCCCAACUAUUUACCUCAAGGGUAAUGUCAACAAUAAUAAUUCAUGAAUACUUACUUCCAAGUUGACAUAUGAAUAUAGAUCUUUUCCCUAGCACAUGACNNNNNNNNNNNNNNNNNNNNNNNNNNNNUUUCCCUAGCAUAUGAUGUUAGCCAAGAUAAAGGAGAAAUAAGGAAUUGGUGUAGAUCACCAUGACUCUUUCAAGGGCAAAAAGUAAAGGUACAAGAUAGGCCCUUCGCAGAGGGAAGCAGAGGUUGUCAUGCGCUUUUGAGGUUGGGAUGUGUGACCUCUUAGUGUGAAGGAACGUCACUUUAUAUUGCCUCCUGUGAUAAAGAACUUUAUUACGCAGUCUGUCGCUUUUAUGUCUUCCUCAUCAUAGGUUCGUACAAAGCUUAUUUUCCACACACUAAUAGAUCAUACAUAUUUAGGGAGGAAUUUUUAUUGCUUGCACCGAUGACAACUUACUUGAGGGAUCUUAUUCAAUCCAUAGGUAGGUAUGGUGGACUCUCAUGGCAAAACUGGGUUGAAGGUUUAUGGAUGCACAAGUAGUAUCUCUACUUGGUUUUUGGCUGAUAUGGGGUGGAAGAAAUCGUCACAUGCUAAGGGAUCUCUAGUCAUAUAAUCAUUAUUCGGAACCAAGCAAACACAAUUCAUUAUGUUCUCUUCCUUGUCCAACUUCUACUUCUAAGCAUGCAAUAGUUUAGUGAGUGUUCACAGUCAUAGAUGGUGCCCAGGAUGAUAUAUUUAUAUGUGAAUCUCUCUUUCUUUAUUACUUCCUAUUAAUUGCAGCAAUGACCAAGGUCUACGUUUGUUCACCCGCAACAAGUUUCAAUCAUCAUUCUUUUUAUAUGUGGAGUCGUCACUUCCCAUAAGAUCAUUACAUGAUCUUUCAUGCUUUUGUUCUUUUAUCAUUAUUUUCUUUAGAUCAUGGCAUGAAGCAAGGCCCUUAACUAAAACACUCUUUAUUAUAUGACUCACGAACUCGAAUACAUCAGGGGUGACACAAAGCAAAACUCAAGCCUAAAACACUAAGAACUUUAUUCUACUAGAGAAAGAUAGAACCAAAAAGGAUCGAACUAAGAAAAGGUAAAGGCAAAAGAUGUGAUGGUGAUACGAUACCGGGGCAACUCCCCCAAGCUUGGCACAAGCCAAGGGGAUUGCCAUACCCGUGCUUAUUUGUCUUCCUUUGAAGGUGAUGGUGGUGGAGCUGUCUUGUCUUUUGGUUCCAAGAGGGCCAUCAAUCUUUGAUUUAUACCUUGGAGCUCUGUGAUAUGUUUCUCUAGCAAAACAACUUCACAGGUGAGAUAAGUAUUGCGACACGAGUUAUUUCACAUAACCUCAAGAGCUCGAUCAAGGAUGGAGGUAAAAGGUGGAGGUAGGGUUGAAGAAAAUCCUCUUCCUCAGCUUCUUCCUAGUUGAGCACAGAUUGCCCUUCAUCCAACGCCGGACUCUUCUCCUUACUUUUGCCCCUAGUUUCUUCAGGUAGCCUUUCCUUGGCCUCCAUGACCUCCAUUCUUUUUAGAUCAGCAUUUACUUCUUCAUAGACUUGAGGGAGAUCGUUCUCCCCUACAGAUUCCUGAGACGGCAUCUUUGCCCUAAAUCGGUGGCAGAAACAGGCUCGAAACGAAAACAGAGAAAAUUUGUGUGAUACGAGGGUCAGACCUUUCGGGAGAAUAUAUAAUGAUUUUUUUCUGACCAGAAGGAGUACUCCGCAAGAAAACAGAGUCCAGGAGGCACACGAGGUGGUCACAAGCCCCCCAGGCGUGGCCAGGGGGUGGCCCGCGCCUGGCAGGCUUGUCGCCUCCUCGUGCGCUUUCGAGACUACUUUAAAUUUUUCUAUUUUUCUAAAAAUUCCAAAACGGAGAAAAAUUCCUAGUGGAAAAGUUUUGGAGUCGGUUUACUUACCGAAUCACAUACCUCUUCGUUUUUGGAGUCUGAAACAGGCUGAUAAAUAUCCCUUAUGUACUCCUCCGGAGUUAUGGUAUUGAUAACAUUGCUUUCAACAUUUAUGGGAGUACCUGAGAUAUAAUGCUUGAUCCUUUUCCCAUUUACCACUCUCGGAAAAUUACCUUCCGUGUUGUUGAUCUUGAUGGCACCGGAACGAUAUACUUCCUCAACAAUGUAAGGACCUUCCCAUUUAGAGAGAAGCUUUCCUGCAAAAAAUCUUAAACGAGAAUUAUAUAACAAGACAUAAUCACCUACAUUGAACUCAUGUUUUUGUAUCCUUUUAUCAUGCCACCUCUUAACCUUUUAUUUGAACAACUUGGCAUUUUGAUAUGCCUGAGCUCUCCAUUCAUCAAGUGAGCUAAUAUCAAAUAACCUCUUCUCACCAGCAAGUUUGAAAUCAAAGUUGAGCUCUUUGAUUGCCCAAUAAGCCUUAUGCUCUAGCUCAAGUGGUAAAUGACAUGCUUUACCGUAAACCAUUUUGUACGGAGACAUGCCCAUGGGAUUCUUAUAAGCAGUUCUAUAAGCCCACAGUGCAUCAUCGAGCUUCUUAGACCAACUCUUUCUAGACCUAUUGACAGUCUUUUGCAGAAUUAGUUUAAUCUCUCUAUUACUUAGAUCUACUUGACCGUUGGACUGAGGAUGAUAGGGAAACGCAAUUCUAUGAUUGACAUCGUACUUAGCGAGCGUUUUACGGAAAGCACCAUGAAUGAAAUGUGAACCACCAUCAGUCAUUAGAUAUCUAGGGACUCCAAAUCUAGGGAAAAUAACUUCUUUAAGCAUUCUGAUAGAGGUGUUGUGAUCAGCACUACUAGUUGGGAUAGCUUCUACCCACUUAGUAACGUAAUCAACAACUAGGAUAUGAGUAUACCCGUUGGAUUUUGGAAAAGGUCCCAGAUAAUCAAAACCCCAAACAUGAAAUGGUUCAAUGACAAGUGAAUAAUUCAUAGGCAUUUCCUGACGUUUACUGAUAUUACCUAUUCUUUGACAUUCGUCACAAGAUAGGACAAACUUACGGACAUCCUUGAAGAGAGUAGGCCAAUAGAAACUUGAUUGCAAUACCUUGUGUGCAGUUCUAUCUCCCGCAUGGUGUCCUCCAUAAGCCUCGGAGUGACACUUUUGUAGGAUCUGUCCCUGUUCAUGUUCAGGUACACAACGUCUAAUAACACCAUCUACUCCUUCCUUAUAAAUGUGAGGAUCAUCCCAAAAGUAAUGUCUCAAAUCAAAGAAGAAUUUCUUCUUUUGCUGGUAUGUGAAACUAGGUGGUAUAUAUAUUUGGCAAUGAUAUAAUUCGCAUAAUCAGCAUACCACGGUGUACUACGUGAAGUAUUGAUGACAAUCAAUUGCUCGUUAGGAAAGCUAUCAUCAAUAGGUUGUGGGUUAUCAAGAACAUUCUCCAACCUAGACAAGUUAUCUCCUACGGGGUUCUCAGCACCCUUCCUAUCGACAACAUGUAAAUCAAAUUCUUGUAGCAAGAGAACCCAUCUGAUAAGUCUAGGCUUAGCGUCUUUCUUUUCCAUGAGGUACUUAAUAGCAGCGUGAUCAGUGUGAAUAGUGAAUUUGGAAUCAACUAUGUAAGAUCUGAACUUUUCACAUGCAAACACGGUUACUAAAAAUUCCUUUUCAGUAGUAGCAUAGUUUCUUUGGGCACUGUCUAGAGUUUUACUAGCAUAGUGAAUAACGUUCAACUUCUUAUCAACUCUUUGUCCUAGAACAACGCCAACAGCAUAAUCACUAGCAUCACACAUGAUUUCAAAAGGUAAGUCCCAAUUAGGUGGUUGAACAAUAGGCGCAGUUAUCAAGGCCUUUUUAAUUAUUUCGAAGGCUUCCUCACAAUCAUCGUCAAAAACAAAAGGAAUAUCAUUUUGCAAGAGAUUGGUAAGAGGCCUAGAAAUCUUAGAGAAGUCCUUAAUGAACCUUCUAUAGAAACCAGCAUGACCAAGGAAACUUCUUAUACCUUUGAUAUCUGUAGGGCAUGGCAUUUUCUCGAUCGCAUCCACCUUAGCCUUAUCGACUUCAAUACCUCUUUCAGAAAUUUUAUGUCCUAAGACGAUCCCUUCAUUAACCAUAAAGUGGCACUUCUCCCAAUUCAAGACAAGAUUGGUAUCUUUACAUCUCUGCAAGACUCGAUCAAGGUUGCUGAGGCAAUCAUCAAAAGAAGACCCGUAAACGGAGAAGUCAUCCAUGAAAACCUCAAAAAUCUUUUCACAAAAGUCAGAGAAUAUAGCCAUCAUACAUACUUGAAAGGUAGCAGGUGCAUUACAUAAGCCAAAAGGCAUACGUCUGUAAGCAAAGGUACCGAAAGGGCAGGUGAAAGUGGUUUUCUCCUGAUCAGAUUGUGCAACACGUAUUUGGGAGAAACCAGAAUAACCAUCUAGAAAGCAGAAGUGUGUGUGUUUAGACAGUCUUUCUAGCAUUUGGUCGAUAAAAGGCAAAGGGUAAUGAUCCUUCCUAGUGGCCUUAUUCAAUUUCCUAAAAUCAAUCACCAUCCUAUAGCCAGUAAUAAUCCUCUGAGGGAUCAAUUCAUCCUUAUCAUUAGGGACAACGGUAAUACCUCCCUUCUUAGGGACGCAAUGCACCGGACUUACCCAAUCACUAUGAGCAACAGGAUAGAUAAUACCUGCUUCCAGGAGCUUUAGUAUUUCUUUUCUUACUACCUCUUUCAUCUUAGGAUUUAAUCUCCGUUGAUGAUCGGCAACUGGUUUGGAAUCAGGAUCGGUUUUAAUCUUGUGCUGGCAUAGAGUGGGACUAAUGCCCUUAAGAUCAUCAAGAGUAUAUCCAAUAGCAGCACGGUGCUUCCUCAUAGUUUUUCAUAACUUCUUUUCUUCAAGCUCUGAAAGGCUAGCACUAAUUAUAACAGGAUAUAUCUCUUUUUCAUCAAGAUAAGCAUACUUAAGAGUAUCAGGCAACUGUUUAAGCUCGAACACAGGAUCACCCUUUGGUGGGGGUGGAUCUCCAAGCUGUUCAACAGGAAAAUUAUUCUUAAGGAUAGGAUGGUGUUCAAAGAUAACUCUAUCUAUCUCAUUCCUUUCAUCCAUAUGCAUAUCAUUUUCAUGCUCAAGCAAGUAUUGCUCUAAAGGAUCAGUAGGAGGCACGGCAAUAGAAUCUAGGGCAAUAAUAUCAUACUUACUAGGCAACUCUUUUUCAUGAGGUUGUCUACCAAACUUGGAGAAAUUGAACUCAUGUGACACACCUUCAAAGCCAACAGUGCCAAUUUACUUCUCACAGUCAAUAUGAGCAUUGACAGUAUUGAGGAAAGGUCUGCCAAAUAUGAUGGGACAAAAGCUAUCUUGUGUGGUAGCAAGAAUGAGAAAAUCAGCAGGAUAUUUCCUUUUACCACACAAGACUUCAAUAUCCCUAACAAUUCCCAAAGGGCAGAUAGUAUCUCUAUUGGCAAGUUGAAUAGUGACAUCAAUAGGUUCCAUUUCAACAGGUGCAAUCUCGUCUUUAACUUCAUCAUAUAAGAAUUGAGGUAUUGCACUAACACUAGCACCCGCGUCACAUAAAACAUGAUAACAAUGAUCUCCUAUCUUAACAGAAACAACAGGUGUGCCAACAACAGGCCUAUGUUUGUCUAUAGCAUGAGGUUUAGCAAUUGUAGCAGCAUCUUCACAGAAGUGAAUAUCAUGGCCCUCAACAUCGUCAGACAGGAGAUCUUUGAUAAUAGCAAUGCUAGGUUCAACUCUAAUUUGCUCAGGGGGUGUAGGUGUUCUAAUGUAUCCCCUAGGUAUCACAGUUGAAACUUUAGAAUGAUCCUUUAUCCUAACAGGGAAAGGUGGUUCCUCAACGUAAGCACUAGGAACAAUAGGAUCAUUAUAAGCGAUGACUCUCUCUUCAACUGGAUUAGGUUUAACUACAUUGACUUCUAAGGCAGGAUGAUAUUUAAACCACUUCUCUUUAGGGAGAUCAAUAUGAGCAGCAAAUGAUUCACACAAUGAAGCUACUAUCUCAAAGUCAAGUCCAUAUUUAGCGCUAAAAUCACAAAAAGUAUUUGUUCCAACAAAGGAUUUAACGCAAUCAAACUUGAAAUUCAUACCUGACUCCUUACCUUCAUCAAACUCCCAAUCUUCAGAGUUGCGUUUAAUUCUUUCCAAUAAAUUCCAUUUGAAGUCAAUAUCUCUCUUCAUAAAAGAACCGAUACAAGAAGUGUCAAGCAUGGUGCGAUUAUCAUGAGAAAGCCGAGCAUAAAAGUUCUGAAUGAUAAUUUAUCUCGAGAGCUCAUGGUUGGGGCAUGAAUAUAACAUUGAUUUAAGCCUCCCCCAAGCUUGAGAGAUGCUUUCUCUAUCACGAGGCCAAAAAUUAUAAAUAUAAUUCCGAUCACGAUGUACCAAAUGCAUAGGAUAAAACCUUUGAUGAAAUUCCAAUUUCAAUCAGUUGUAGUUCCAUGAUCCAGUAUCAUCACAUAGCCUAUACCAUGUCAAUGAUUAUCCCUCAAAGAUAAGGGAAAGACCUUCUUCUUGACCCCGGGCAAACCUGCAAGCUUAAAUAAACCACAAACUUCAUCUACAUAGAUUAGAUGCAAGUCGGGAUGUGAUGUUCCAUCUCCUGUAAAAGGAUUAGCCAGCAAUUUCUCAAGCAUACCCAAAGGAAAUUCAUAGCAAAUAUUUUCAGUAGGUGCAGCAGGUUGAGGAGCAACUCCUUGUGCUUCCGUUCGAGGUGAAGAUACCCCGAACAAGCUCCUCAAAGGAUUAGUUUCCAUAGUAACAAGUGACAAUAAAUUUCAGCACACUAUAUAAAUGUUUCCUUACCAAAUUCCACUUACGAAAGGCGCUUCACUCCUCAGAAACGGCGCCAGAAAAGAGUCUUGAUGACCCACAAGUGAAGGGGAUCAAUCGUAGUCCUUUCGAUAAGUAAGAGUGUCGAACCCAACGAGGAGCAGAAGGAUCUGACAAGUGGUUUUCAGCAAGGUAUUCUGUGCAAGCACUGAAAUUAUCGGUAACACAUAGUUGUGCGGAAAGAUGAUUCGUAGCAAGUAGCAAGUAACAAGUAGCAAUAGUAACAAAGGUGCAGCAAAGUGGCCCAAUCCCUUUUGUAGCAAGGGACAAGCCUGGACGAACUCUUAUAAGAGGUAAAGCGCUCCCGAGGACACAUGGGAAUUUCUGUCAAGCUAGUUUUCAUCAAGUUCAUAUGAUUCGCGUUCGCUACUUUGAUAGUUUGAUAUGUGGGUGGACCAGUGCUUGGGUGCUGCCCUUACUUGGACAAACAUCCCACUUAUGAUUAACCCCUCUCGCAAGCAUCCGCAACUACGAAAGAAGAAUUAAGACAAAGUCUAACCAUAGCAUUAAACUAGUGGAUCCAAAUCAGUCCCUUACGAAGCAACGCAUAAACUAGGGUUUAAGCUUCUGUCACUCUAGCAACCCAUCAUCUACUUACUACUUCCCAAUGCCUUCCUCUAGGCCCAAAUAAUGGUGAAGUGUUAUGUAGUCGACGUUCACAUAACACCACUAGAGGAAAAACAACUUACAACGCAUCAAAAUAUCGAACGAAUACCAAAUUCACAUGACUACUUAUAGCAUGACUUAUCACAUGUCCUCAGGAAUAAAAGUAACUACUCACAAAGCAUAAUUAUGUUCAUGACCAGAGAGAUAUUGAAUAGCAUCAAGGAUCUGAACAUAUAAUCUUCCACCGAGUAAUCCAACUAGCAUCGACUACAAAGAGUAAUUAACACUACUAGCAACCUUACAAGUACCAAUCGGAGUCGUGAGACGGAGAUUGGUUACAAGAGAUGAACUAGGGUUUGGAGAUGAGAUGGUGCUGAUGAAGAUGUUGAUGGUGAUGAGUGCCCUCCGAUGAGAGGAGUGUUGGUGAUGACGAUGGCGACGAUUUCCCCCUCCGGGAGGGAAGUUUGCCCGGCAGGAUGACCCUACCAGAGCUCUAGAUUGGUUGUGCUCAAGUUCCGCCUCGUGGCGGCGGCGAUUCCUCCCGAAAGCCUCCUCCUGAUUUUUUCCGGAAUGAAACCCUCCUUAUAGCAAAAGAGGGGAGCCAGAGGGACAACAGGGAGCCCACAAGCCUCCUAGGCGCGGCCAGGGGGUAGGUCGCGCCUAGCAGGCUUGUGGCCUCCUGGUGGCUCCCCUCUGGUACUUCUUCAGCCCAGUAUUUUUUAUAAAUUCCAAAAUAAUUCCUCGUUGAUUUUCACGGCUUUUGGAGUUGCGCAAAAUAGGUAUCCCAAACUUUCUCCCUUUUCAGGCCAGAAUUCCAGCUGCCGGCAUUCUCCCUCUUCAUGUAAACCUUGCAAAAUAAGAUAGAAAAGGCAUAAGUAUUGUACCGUGAAGUGUAAUAACAUCCCAUAAAGCGAUAAAUAUCAACAUAAAAGCAUGAUGCAAAAUGGACGUAUCACAGCCCCAGAACCUCUGAUCGAUGUGCGCCAUCUCUGACUACCCAGCACACCACACUAAAGUUAGCAGAACUUCACAAGAAUGGUAGCAACUACUCAUAGGGAUGCCUAGAGCCUAAAACAAGCAUUCAAACUACUUGGAAAUUCAAGAAUUCAACAUGCAAGCUCAUCUAUAGAAACACCCAGAGUAGCUAAUUACUUCUGAGAUAAACCACUAGAGCAAAAACUAAUUGGAGGAGUGGGGGAGUUAUUUACCAAGGAGCAAUCCUCCAAAACAGUUUCGGAAAUGGAGUUUUGAGCAAAGAGAUCGAAAUCCAGGGUUUGAGGGCAAGAACGAGAGAAAGAGAGCUACACGAAUUUUUAUGUAGAGGUGAGUGAUGAAGUGGGAUGAAGGAAUAAGUGAGGGGACCCCCGAGGGGCCGACUAGACACCUGGCUGCGCUAGGGGGCUCGCGCGCCCUGGUGUCUAGUGGCCACCUGAGACACCCCCUGCAGUGUUUUUAGUGCUAGAAAUUCUCAAAUAUUCAGAAAACAAUUGUGUAAAAAUUUCAGGUCAUUUGGAGAACUUUUAUUUUUGGGCACUUUUUUAUUGCACGAAAAUAUCAGAAAAUAGGAUAAUCAUGACUUUUAUUAUAAUUAACUAAAAAUAACAGGGAAAAUAAAGUGGGUACAGAGAAUUGUGCCUACUAAAUUCAUCGACCUCAUGCUUCUUGAAAAUGAUUCAUUAAUAAGGUUGAUCAAGUCUUAUUAACAACCACUUCCAAUUAGCAUGAUCCCAAAGAUUUUUUCUAAAACACUAAAAUACCUCCAUGGGGAUGUGCGUAUCCCACCAACCAAUAAGUAUCUCAUAUUUAUUUUUGUUUCUCGAAAAAUGCACCGAAUGUUCUUUACCAUUGACAAGAAAAGUGACAUUGCUUUUGUUGAAAUCAAUAACAGCCCUUGUAGUAUUCAAGAAAGGUCUACCAAGGAUGAUUGACAUGUUGUCAUCCUCGGGCAUAUCAAGUAUAGCAAAGUCUAUCAAGAUAGUAAUAUUAGCAACAACAACAUGUACAUCCUCACAAAUACCGAUAGGUAUCGCUGUUGAUUUGUCAGCCAUUUGCAAUGAAAUUUCAGUAGGUGUGAGUUUAUUCAAGUCAAGUCUUUUGUAUAAAGAAAAAGGCAUAACACUAGCACCAGCUCCUAUAUCACAUAGAUCAACAGCAGGUUCUAGAUCAACAUCAUUAUCUGGUUCUUUAUCAAUGUCAGGUUGAGCAUCUACAUGAGCAUCAUGAUUAUCAUUCUCAUUAUCACUAGGUGAAUGCUCACUACCAGAUUGAGUUUUAGCAUCAGAGAUAGAGAUAUCAUUAGCAUUAGCAGAAUGUUUCUCUAAUUCAGGUUUACUAGAAGUAUGAAAGGUCCUAUCAUUUUUCAUUUUCAUUUUCUUCCUAGAAGUACUAGGUGCAUCAGUAUUAAUUCUUUGUGAAUCUUGUUCAGUUCUUUUAGGAUGGCCUUCUGGAUAUAGUGGAUCUUGAGUCACUGUGCCUCCUCUAGUCAUUACUCUAAUAGCAUGAUCAUUCAUAUUAUUAGUGAUUUUAUGAAGUAGCUCACUUUGGGAUUUAGCAAGUUGUUCUAGUUGGGUUUGAACCAUAGAAGCAUGUUUUCCUACACCUCUUACAUCAUUGGUGAUUCUAAAUAACAAGUCACUUAAGCGAGCAAUUAUAUCAGAGUUUUGUUUCAAUUAUUUUAUGACAUAGGAGUUGAAAUGAUCUUGCUUUAUAAUAUAAUUAUCAAACUCAUAUAAGCAUUGACUAGGAUGUUUAUUGUAAGGGAUAUCACCUUCAUCGAACUUUAAAAGAGAAUUUACCUCCACCACCUGUGGUGGUGUUUGGAGACCAUGUAUUUCUUUGAUAGGUGGUAAAUUCUUAACAUCUUCACCUUUAAUGCCUUUUUCCUUCAUACAGUUCUUUGCCUCUUGCAUAGUUUCAGGACUAAGGAAUAAGAUACCUCUCUUCUUUGGAGUACGCUUAUGCGGUGGUUCGGGAAGUGUCCAUUCAUCAUAAUUCUGCAAUAUAUUAGUCAAUAACUCCUCAGCUUGUUCGACAAUUCAUUCCUUGAGAACACAACCAGCACAACUAUCUAGGUGGUCCCUAGAAGCAUCGAUUAGUCCAUUAUAAAAUAUAUCAAGUGUUUCAUUUUUCUUAAGAGGAUGAUCACGCAAAGCAUUAAGUAAUUGAGAAGCCUCCCCCAAGCUUGUGGGAGACUCUCUUCUUCAAUUUGCACAAAGUUAAAUAUUUCAUAUAAGGCAGAUUGUUUCUUAUGAGAAGGAAAGUAUAUUUCAGAGAAGUAGUAAAUCAUAUCCUGGGGACUACAAACUCAACCAGGAGCAAGAGUAUUGUACCAAUUCUUAGCAUCACCCUCUAACGAGAAUGGAAAUAAUUUGAGGAUAUGUAGUGGCAAAUUUUCUCAUCAUUAGUAAAUAGGGUGGCUAUAUCAUUUAGCUUAGUGAGAUGUGCCACAAUAGUUUCAUUUUCAUAGCCAUGAAAAGGAUCAGAUUCAACCAGAGUGAUUAUCUGUAGGUCGAUAGAGAAUUCAUAAUCCUUAUCGGUAACAAAGAUAGGUGAAGUAGCAAACUUAGGAUCAUAUUUCAUUCUAGCAUUCAGGGAUUUUUCUUUCAACUUGCAUAGUAGUUUCUUAAGAUCAUCUCUAUCCUUACAAGCAAGAAAGUCUCUAGCAAUUUAUUCAUCCAUAACAUAACCUUCAGGUAUUUCAGGCAUUUCAGUUCUAGGAUAGUCAUGGCUAAAAGGUAUUUCAAUAUUUUCACUAGCAAAGGCUUCAUCAGUUUCAACACUAUCAGCAAUUUCAACAUGCUCAAUUUCUUUAGCUCUAGCAAGUUGUUCAUCAAGAAAUUCACCUAGUGGCACACUAUCAUCAAGCAAGGUACUAGCAUAAUCAUAAGCAUCAUUCAUAGCAGAGGUAGCAUCAUCAAUUACUUGCAACAUAUUAGGAUUAAUAGCAUGUGGUGCUGGUGUUGCAAGUCUAUUCAAAAUAGAUGGUUAAUCAAGUGCAGAUCUAGAUGGCAGUUCCUUACCUCCCCUCGUCUUAGAGGGAACGACCUUGGUUCUUGGAUCUUUCACAUUCUUCAUAGUGAUCAAUAAAUAGAUAUCCCAAGUGACUAAGCAAAUAUAGCUAUGGUCCCCGGCAACGGCGCCAGAAAAUGUUCUUGAUAACCCACAAGUAUAUGGGAUCGCGAUAGUUUUCGAGGGUAGAGGAUUCAACCAAAAUUUAUAGAUUCGACACAUGGGGAGCCAAAGAAUAUUUGCAGGUAUUAGCAGUUGAGUUGUCAAUUCAACCACACUUGGAGAUUUAGUAUUUGCAACAAAGUGAUCAGUAGCACAGUAAUAUGAUAGUUUUGAUAGAAGUGGUAACAGUAGCAGCAGUAACUGUAAUAGUGAUAGUAGUUUUAUAGCAGUUGUAACAGCAGUAGCAAUAGUAGUAACUGAGCAAGCACAAUAUAUGAAAAACUCGUAGGCACUGGAUCGGUGAUAUUUUUGGAUAAUAUUCAUCAUAUAACAGUCACAACAUCGGGCGACACAGAACUAGCUCUCGUUGAUCGAUAUAAUGUAGGCAUGUCUUUCGUAAAUAGUCAUACGUGCUUAUGGAAAAGAACUUUCUGGGCUAGAUCAGAUCGGACCGCGAUUGGAUUGUGAAGAAGUAUGACUACAUUAACCGUAUUAUAUACGCUUUCGCUUAACGAUCUACAAGGGUACGUAGACACGCUAUCACUCUCGUUUCUAUGCAUCUCCAUAGAUAGAUCUUGGGUGUUCCUAGGAAAAAAUUUGUUUCCCGUGCAAGGUUCCCCAACACAAGCGAGGGCGGAGAAGUAGAUGGGAUCUUGACCAGAACAACAACAUAGUGGAGAUAGUGGUGGACCAAUGCCAACAAGGCUUUGUCAAGUACCUCCAAAACUACGAACGAGGAAUAAUUCAGCAAGAUGGGAUAGGGGCUGCCCAAGGGAGGGGGGAUUGGUGUGCGGAUGCCCUCCCCACCCCUCCUAUGUUAAUAGGAUCAAGGGUGAGGGUUUCACCCCCCCUUUGCCCCUCCUCCAAGAAGUUUGCGACGGCCCUAGGGAGGAGGAGUGCCAUCUAAGCCAAGUGGAGGGCCCUUUCCCUUAGGGUUUCCCUUCCCUCUAGACACGUGGGCCUUGUGGGGCUAGUACCUGAUAACCUACAAGUAUAUGGGAUCGCGAUAGUUUUCGAGGAUAGAGUACUCAACCCAAAUUUAUAGAUUUGACACAAGGGGAGCCAAAGAAUAUUUGCAGGUAUUAGCAGCUGAGUUGUCAAGUCAACCACACUUGGAGAUUUAGUAUCUGCACCACACUGAUGAGUAGCAUAGUAAUAUGAUAGUUUUGAUAGAAGUGGUAACAAUAGCAUGAGUAAUGGUAACAGUGAUAGCAGUUUUGUAGCAGUUGUAGUAGCAGUAGCAACGGUAGUAACUUAGGAAGCACAAUAUGUGGAAAACUCAUAGGCACUGGAUUGGUAAUAUUGUUGGAUAAUAUUCAUCAUAUAACAGUCACAACGUCGGACGACACAGAACUAGCUCUCGUUCAUCGAUAUUAGGCAUGUAUUUCGUAAAUAGUCAUACGUGCUUAUGGAAAAGAACUUGCAUGACAUCUUUUGUCCUACCCUCCCGUGGCAGCGGGGUCCAUAAGGAAACUAAGGGAUAUUAAGGCCUCCUUUUAAUAGAGAAUUGGAUCAAAUCAUUAACACAUAGUAAAUACAUGAACUCCUCAUAGUACGGUAAUCACCGGAGAGAAUCCCAAUUAUUGUCACUUUGGAGUAUGCGGAUCCUAACACAUAGUAGGUGCAUAUAACUUGCAAGAUCGGAUCAAGAACAUAGAUAUAAUGAUGAAAACAUAAACGUUUUAGAUAUGAAAUCAUGGCACUCAGGCCAUAGUGACAAGCAUUAAGCAUAGCAAAGUCAUAGCAACAUCUAUCGCCGAACAUGUGGAUACUCGGGAUCAAGCCCUAACAAAACUAUCUCGAUUACAUGAUGAAUAUUGUCGAGCUCUUCACUGACCAGCAAGCCUAUGAAGGUAUUACUCACUCCUGGUGGAGAGGAUCAUGGAAUUGGCGAUGGAGGAGGGUUGGUGAUGACGAAGACCGAAGAUUCCCCUCUCCGGAGCCCCAAACGGACUCCGCAUUAGGCCUCCCGAUGAAGAAGAGGAGGUGGUGGCGGAUCCGUAUCGUGAAACACGAUGGAACUUUCUCUCUGAUUUUUUCUUCGAAAAUAGGAAUUUAUAGCGGUGGAAUUAGGGUUAGCAGAGCCACAUGGGUUCCACUAGACACCAGGCCGUGCUAGGGGCGGCUGGCGCGCCCUGAUGUUUAGUGGGCGCAUCUGGCCUCCCCUCCGGUGGAUCUUGGUUCCAGUAUUUUUUUUAUAUUCCAAAAAAAAUCUCCAAAAAGUUUUGUUCCAUUCCGAGAAAUUUUGUUUCUGCACAAAAACAACACCAUGAUAGUUCUGCUGAAAACAACGCCAGUCCGGGUUAGUUUCAUUCAAAUCAUGCAAAUUAUAGUCCAAAACAAGAGCAAAAGCAUUAGGAAAAGUAGAUAUGAUGGAGACGUAUCAGUACCCCUAGCCCAAUGAGGUCAGGGCGCCCCCAUACAGCCCAUGUACGUCCUAGGGGCUGGAGGGACCCUUCCGGACUCCUCUAGAACUCUUCGAAACCUUCCAGAACCUUCCCUAUACAAUACUGGCAAAACCAGAAACUUUUCCGGUAGCCAAAAUAUGACUUCACAUAUAUAAAUCAUUACCUAUGGACCAUUCUGGAGCUCCUCGUGAUGUCCGGGAUCUCAUCCGAGACUCCAAACAAUAUUCGGUCACCAACGUAUAUAUCCCAAUACUACUUUAGCAUCAUCGAACGUUAAGCGUGCGGACCCUACGGGUUUGAGAAUCAUGUAGACAUGACCAAGACACCUCUCCAGUCAAUAACCAAUAGCGGGACCUGGAUGCCCAUAUUAGUUUGCACAUAUUCCACUAAGACCAUUAUCCAUCGAACCAUGACGCCAAGGAUUUAAUGAAUCCCGUAUGCAGUUCCCUUUGUCCAUCGGUAUGUUACUUGCCCGAGAUUCGAUCAUCGGUAUCUCAUACCUAGUUCAAUCUCGUUACCGCCAAGUCUCUUUACUCGUUUCAUAAUACAAGACCUUGUGACUAACUCCUUAGUCACAUUGCUUGCAAGCUUCUUGUGAUGUUGUAUUACCGAGAGGUACCAGAGAUACCUCUCCGUCAUACGGAGUGACAAAUCCUAGUCUCUAUCCACGCCAACCCAACAGACACCCUCUGAGGUACCUGUAGAGCCCCUUUAUGAUCACCCAAUUAUGAAGUUAUGUUUGAUAGCACACAAGGCAUUCCUACGGUGUCAGGGAGUUGCAUGAUCUCUCAUUGCUCCCUUUCCUUCCAUAAAAUAUCAUCAAAAAGUUUCAAGCAAUUCCGAGAACUUUUAAUUUCUGCACAAGAACAACACCACAAUACUUCUACUGAAAACAACGCCAGUCCAGGCCAGUUCCAUUAUAUCUAUAAAAGUGCAUUAAAACCAUAGAAAAGUAUUCUAAACAUGGGUAAAUAUGGCAUGAAUACUUUGGAAAUUUUGAUGUGUUGGAGAUGUAUCAAGCGACGGCCAAAAAGGAGGCGAAUCCACGUGUUCAUCGGUGAAGUUUGAAGGAAAGAGUUUACCUUAGCUGCCUAGGGUUAGGGGAGGAAACAAGAAGAUAUGGUGUUAUGUUUUCAACCAUAUAACUUCAUAACAAGUUUAGACCAGCAAAUCCAACCUAAUGUAGAACCAACCUAAAAGACACCCUUCAACACUACUUAUAAUAUCAUUCUUUAGUGAAACCAAUUGGUGUGGCAACGAGAAUCUUGACCCGCUCCUCACCAAUCGUGUUCACUGGCAGGAUCAAUUCCAAGCUAUGUGAAGUAGCUCCCCUCGAUGAGGGUCUAGUAGUUUGAGGCAGAAGAGAAUUUGUGCACGAAAAAUUUUCGUUGGUGUAGAAACCUAUAGAUCUUGUACAUAAUACAUUUGGCACACCGCCAUGUGCGCCCCGAAAACAAAAUUUAUAACAAAUAAACCAUAAGGGCACCACAAGGAAGCAAAAAAAACAAAAUUCAAGAUAACUUUCUUUUUUGCUACGUCCACAUCAAACUGAAUUCAUGCAUAGAGUUUGACAUUUUCAUGAGGAAAAAUCAGCAAGGAUGGACCACAAGCAUCUAGCAAAGAUACAAGCAAAGAACAAAUGUUGGAUUAGUUCACUCUCAUUACAAAAAUAGACACAACCCAGUAUCCACCGUCUUAUGCUUGGCAAGGUUUUUCCAUGUAAGAACUUUGUUAUUCACCGGCAACCACAAGAACACAUGAAUCUUAGGGUAAGUUUUUUUGGCAGCUUAAAAAAAUAAGUUGCCUCCUCUUCAGCUUUCCGCAUAAGUUGCAUCUCUGAUGUCUUGGGGCUUCUAAAAUAGUUAUGAGAUGACUAAUUUAGAAGUCUCGAAAAAUUAUGGAGCGACUUAUUUUUUAAACUCGGGAGAGGCAACUUAUCUUUUUAGGCCACCCAAAAGAACUGGCCCUUAAGGGGGCACAGAACCUUCCACAACGAGUCUUUAACGGGAGAAACCACACCACCAGAGUUACUCCUCUCAUAAAUUGAUUUAACAUAAUGUCACCGCUACUAUCCACGACCAUCUAUGAAUGUUAGCAUAUGAGGUAAUUACAAUAAACAAAACAAGAUCAGCCAGUUCAUGCCACAAAAGCAACACCUUAUUAAUCAACACACUGCCUACAGGGGAGCUUCAACCGAGACUCAUCCCAAACUUGAGCAAGAGUGCAAUUAGGUUGGUUAUAAAUCGUAUAAAGAUCCCAUAAUCUAGUUUUAAGCGAGAAUCUCGCAGUCAGACCGGACAAUAAUUGGCACUAGUCCCAUUGCCAAAUCGACCACACAUACAAACGUUUUGUCCCUCCAAACGUCCAAGUGACACUCUUCCAAAAGGAAAAACAUUUGUCAGGUUAAGACCAUAGAGGAAUACGACUACUUCUAUUAUAAUUGAAAUCAAUGACUUCUUACAGUCUUUGCUUGAACCAUAAAAGUACCUUUUAUCCCAAGAACCCAAUAAAGCCAUCUUAAAAUCCCUAAGAAUACUGAUUGUUUAUUUCUAAAAACCAUACAUCAAUUAACCAAAUCAUGCAUGUGAGGGUCCCCGGAUUUGUUGGGGAACGUCGCAUGGGAAAUAAAAAAUUUCCUACGCGCAUGAAGACCUAUCAUGGUGAUGUCCAUCUACGAGAGGGGAUAUUCGAUCUACGUACCCUUGUAGACCGCACAGCAGAAGCGUUAGUGAAUGCGGUUGAUGUAGUGGAACGUCCUCACGUCCCUCGAUCCGCCCCGCGAACCGUCCCGCGAUCAGUCCCACGAUCUAGUGCCGAACGGACGGCACCUCUGCGUUCAGCACACGUACAACUCGACGAUGAUCUCGGCCUUCUUGAUCCAGCAAGAGAGACAGAGAGGUAGAUGAGUUCUCCGGCAGCGUGACGGCGCUCCGGAGGUUGGUGGUGAUCUAAUCUCAGCAGGGCUCCGCCCGAGCUCCGCAGAAACGCGAUCUAGAGGUAAAACCGUGGAGGUAUGUGGUCGGGCUGCCGUGGCAAAGUUGUCUCAAAUCAGCCCUAAAACCUCCACAUAUAUAGGGGGAAGAGGGGGGGCCUUGCCUUGGGGCUCAAGGGGCCCCAAGGGGGUCGGCCGAGCCAAGGGGGUGAGUCCUCCCCUUCCAAACCGAAUCCAACUAGGUUUGGAAGGAGGAGUCCUUCCCCCUUUUCCCACCUCCUCUUUUUUUUCUCUUUGAUUUUCUUCCUGUGGCGCAUAGAGCCUUCUUGGGCUGUCCCACCAGCCCACUAAGGGCUGGUGCGCCACCCCCAAGUCCUAUGGGCUUCCCCGGGGUGGGUUGGCCCCUCCCGGUGAACACCCGGAACCCAUUCGUCAUUCCCGGUACAUUCCCGGUAACUCCGAAAACCUUUCCGGUAAUCAAAUGAGGUCAUCCUAUAUAUCAAUCUUCAUUUCCGGACCAUUCCGGAAACCCUCGUGACGUCCAUGAUCUCAUCCAGGACUCCGAACAACAUUCCAUAACCAACCAUAUAACUCAAAUACGCAUAAAACAACGUCGAACCUUAAGUGUGCAGACCCUGCGGGUUCGAGAACUAUGUAGACAUGACCCGAGUGACUCCUCGGUCAAUAUCCAAUAGCAGGACCUGGAUGCCCAUAUUGGAUCCUACAUAUUCUACGAAGAUCUUAUCAUUUGAACCUCAGUGCCAAGGAUUCAUAUAAUCCCGUAUGUCAUUCCCUUUGUCCUUCGGUAUGUUACUUGCCCGAGAUUCGAUCGUCAUUAUCCGCAUACCUAUUUCAAUCUCGUUUACCGGCAAGUCUCUUUACUCGUUCCGUAAUACAAGAUCCCACAACUUACACUAAGUCACAUUGCUUGCAAGGCUUGUGUGUGAUGUUGUAUUACCGAGUGGGCCCCGAGAUACCUCUCCGUCACACGAAGUGACAAAUCCCAGUCGAUCCAUACUAACUCCUGUAGAGCAUCUUUAUAGUCACCCAGUUACGUUGCGACGUUUGAUACACACAAAGCAUUCCUCCGGUGUCAGUGAGUUAUAUGAUCUCAGGGUCAUAGGAACAAAUACUUGACACGUAGAAAACAGUAGCAACAAAAUGACACGAUCAACAUGCUACGUCUAUUAGUUUGGGUCUAGUCCAUCACAUGAUUCUCCUAAUGAUGUGAUCCCAUUAUCAAGUGACAACACUUGCCUAUGGUCAGGAAACCUUGACCAUCUUUGAUCAACGAGCUAGUCAACUAGAGGCUUACUAGGGACAGUGUUUUGUCUAUGUAUCCGCACAUGCACUAUGUUUCCAAUCAAUAUAAUUAUAGCAUGGAUAAUAAACGAUUAUCAUGAACUAAGAAAUAUAAUAAUAACUAAUUUAUUAUUGCCUCUAGGGCAUAUUUCCAACAGUCUCCCACUUGCACUAGAGUCAAUAAUCUAGUUCACAUCACCAUGUGAUUUCAACGAAUCCAACACCCAUAUAGUUCUGGGGUCUGAUCACGUCUUACUCGUGAGAGAGGUUUUAGUCGACGGUUCUGAAACUUUCAGAUCCGUGCGUUCUUUACAAAUCUUUAUGUCAUCUUAUAGAUGCUGCUACUACGUGCUAUUCGGAAAUGCUCCAAAUAUCUACUCUACUAUACGAAUCCGUUUCACUACUCAUGGUUAUUCGGAUUAGUGUCAAAGCUUGCAUCGAUGUAACCUUUUACGACGAACUCUUUAACCACCUCCAUAAUCGAGAAAAAUUCCUUAGUCUAUUUAGUUACUAAGGAUAACUUUGACCGCUGAUCAGUGAUUCAAUCCUGGAUCACUCUGUGUACCUCUUAACAGACUUGCUGCAAGGCACACAUCAGGUGCGGUACUCAGCAUGGCAUACUUUAGAGUCUACGGCUAAGGCAUAGAAGAUGACCUUCGUCUAUUCUCUUUAUUCUGCCGUGGUCGGGUUUUGAGUCUUACUCAAAUUCACACCUUACAACGCAGCCAAGAACUCCUUCUUUGCUGAUCUAUUUUGAACUCCUUCAAAAACUUGUCAAGGCAUGCAUCUUGUUUAAACUUCCAUUAAGCGCUUUCGAUCUAUCUCCAUAGAUCUUUGAUGCUCAACGUUCAAGUAGCUCAAUCCAGGUAUUCCUUUGAAAAACCCUUUCAAACAACCUUGUAUGCUCUACAGAAAUUCUACAUUACUUCUGAUCCACAAUAUGUCAACCACAUAUACUUAUCAGAAAUUCUGUAGUGCUCCCACUCACUUCUUUGGAAAUACAAGUUUCUCAUAAACCUUGUACAAACCCAAAAUCUUUGAUCAUCUCAUCAAAGUGUGUAUUCCAACUCCGAGAUGCUUGCACCAGUCCAUUGAAGGAUCACUGGAGCUUGCAUACUUGCUAGUAUCUUUAGGAUCGACAAAACCUCAUGGUUGUAUCUCAUACAAUGUUUGCUCAAGGAAACCGUCGAGGAAACAAUGUUUUGACAUCCUACGUGCAAUAUUUCAUAAAUAAUGCAGCAACUACUAACAUAAUUCCAACAGACUUUUAGCAUCGCUACGAGUGAGAAAGUCUCAUCAUAGUCAACUGUUUGAUCUUGUCGGAAACAUCUUUGCGACAAGUCGAGCUUUUCUUAAUGGUGACUUAUCACCAUCAUUGUCUGACUUCCUUUUAAAGAUCCAUCUUUACUCAAUGGUCCUAUGACCAUCAAGUAGUUCUUCCAAAGUCUACACUUUGUUUUCAUACAUGGAUCCUCUCUCGGAUUUCAUGGCUUCCAGCCAUUUGUCGGAAUCCGGGCCCACCAUUGCUUUCUCCAUAACUCGUAGGUUCACUGUUGCUCAACAACAUGACCUCCAAGACAGGGUUACCGUACCACUCUGCAGUAGUACGCGACCUUGUCAACCUACGAGGCUUGUAGUAACUUGAUCCGAUGCUCGAUGAUCACCAUCAUCAGCUUUCACUUCAAUUGGUGUAGGCGCCACAGGAACAACUUCCUGCGCCUUGCUACACACUGGUUGAAGUGAUGGUUCAAUAACCUCAUCAAGUUCUACCACCCUCCCACUCAAUUCUUUCGAGAGAAACCUUUCCUCGAGAAAGGAUCCGUUUCUAGAAACAAACACUUUGCUUUCGGAUCUGAGGCAGGAGAUGUACCCAACUGUUUUGGAUAUCCUAUGAAGAUGCAUUUAUCCGCUUUGGGUUCGAGCUUAUCAGACUGAAACUUUUUCACAUAAGUGUCGAAGCCGCAAACAUUCAAGAAACGACAGUUUAGAUUUAUCUAAACCUCAGUCUAUACUGUGUCAUCUCAACGGAAAUACGCGGUGCCCUAUUUAAAGUGAAUGCGGUUGUCUCUAAUGCAUAACCCAUAAACGAUAAUGGUAAUUUGAUAAGAGACAUCAUAGCAUGCAUCAUACCAAAUAGUGCGUGGCUAUGACGUUCAGACACAUCAUCACACUAUGAUGUUCCAGGUGGCAUGAACUGCGAAACAAUUUCCACAUUGUCUUAAGUGCGUACCAAAACUCGUAACUCAGAUAUUCAUUUCUAUGAUCAUAUCGUAGACAGUUUAUCCUCUUGUUACGACGAACUUCACUCUGAAACAGAAUUGAACUUUUCAAUAUUUCAGACUUGUGAUUCAUUAAGUAAAUACUCUUGUAUCUACUUAAAUCGUCAUUGAAGUAAGAACAUAAUGAUAUCCACUGCGUGCCUCAGCACCCAUUGGACUGCAUACAUCAAAAUGUAUCACUUCCAACAAGUUACUAUUUUGUUUCAUCUCAAUGAAAACAAGGCCUUGCUCAUGUGGUAUGAUUUGCAUGUCACUAGUGAUUCAAAAUCAAGUGAGUAUAAAGAUCCAUCAGCAUGGAGCCUCUUCAUGCAAUUUAUACCAACAUGACUCAAGCGGCAGUGCCACAAGUAAGUGGUACUAUCAUCAUUACCUCGUGUCUUUUGGCACCAAUAUUAUGAACAUGUGUAACACUACGAUCGAGAUUCAACAAACCAUUGAAGGUGAUUAUUCAAGCAAAUAGAGUAACCAUUAUUCUCUUUAAAUGAAUAAUCGUAUUGCAAUAAACACGAUCCAAUCAUGUUCAUGCUUAACGCAAGCACCAAAUAACAAUUAUUUAGGUUUAACACCAAUCCCGAUGGUAGAGGGAGCGUGCGACGUUUUGAUCAUAUCAAUCUUGGGAACACUUCCAACACGUAUCGUCACCUCGCCUUUAGCUAGUCUCUGUUUAUGCCGUAGCUAUCAUUUCGUGUUACUAAUCACUUAGCAACCGAACCGGUAUCCAAUACCCUCAUGCUACUAGGAGUACUAGUAAAGUACACAUCAUGUAUAUCAAAUAUACUUCUUUUGACUUUUGCCAGCCUACUUAUCUACCAAGUAUCUAGAGUUGCUCCGCCUCAGUGACUGUUCCCCUCAUUACAGAAGCACUUAGUCUCGAGUUUGGGUUUAAUCUUGGGUCUCUUCAUUAGUGCAGCAAUUGUUUUGCCGUUUCACGAAGUAUCCCUUCUAGCCCUUGCCUUUCUUGAAACUUAGUGGUUUUACUAACCAUCAACUAUUGAUGAUCCUUCUUGAUUUCUACUUUCGCAGUGUCAAACAUCGCGAAUCGCUCAAGGAUCACUGUAUCUAUCCUUGAUAUGUUAUAGUUCAUCACGAAGCUCUCACAGCUUGGUGGCAGUGACUUUCGAGAACCAUCACUAUCUCAUCUGGAAGAUUAACUCCCACUUGAUUCAAGCGAUUGUCGUACUCAGACAAUCUGAGCACACGCUCAACGGUUGAGCUUUUCUCCUUUACUUUGUGGACAAAGAAUCUUGUUGGAGGUCUCGUACCUCUUAACAAGGGCACAAGCAUGAAAUCACAAUUUCAUCUCUUUAGAACAUCACUUAUGUUCCGUGACGUUUCAAAACGUUUUCGGCGCCUUGCUUCUAAGCCAUUAAGUAUUUUGCACUGAACUAUCGUGUAGUCAUCAGAAACGUGUAUGUCGGAUGUUCACAGCAUCCACAGACGACGCUCGAGGUGCAGCACACCGAGUGGUGCAUUAAGGACAUAAGCCUUCUGCGCAGCAACGAGGACAAUCCUCAGUUUUACAGACUUAGUCUGCAAAGUUUGCUACUAUCAACUUUCAACUAAAUUUUCUCUAGGAACAUAUAAAAAACAGUAGAGCUAUAGCGCAAGCUACAUCGUAAUUCGCAAAGACCAUUAGACUAUGUUCAUGACAAUUAGUUCAAUUAAUCAUAUUACUUAAGAACUCCCACUCAAAAAGUACAUCUCUCUAGUCAUUUGAGUGGUACAUGAUCCAAAUCCACUAGCUCAAGUCCGAUCAUCACGUGAGUCGAGAAUAGUUUCAGUGGUAAGCAUCUCUAUGCUAAUCAUAUCAACUAUACGAUUCAUGCUCGACCUUUCGGUCUCAUGUGUUCCAAGGCCAUGUCUGCACAUGCUAGGCUCGUCAAGCUUAACCCGAGUGUUCUGCGUGUGCAACUGUUUUGCACCCGUUGUAUGUGAACGUUGAGUCUAUCACACCCGAUCAUCACGUGGUGUCUCGAAACGAAGAACUGUCGCAACGGUGCACAGUCGGGGAGAACACAAUUUCGUCUUGAAAUUUUAGUGAGAGAUCACCUCACAAUGCUACCGUCGUUCUAAGCAAGAUAAGGUGUAUAAAGGAUUAACAUCACAUACAAUUCAUAAGUGACAUGAUAUGGCCAUCAUCACGUGCUUCUUGAUCUCCAUCACCAAAGCACCGGCACGAUCUUCUUGUCACUGGCGUCACACCAUGAUCUCCAUCAUCAUGAUCUCCAUCAAUGUGUCGCCAUUGGGGUUGUCGUGCUACUCAUGCUAUUACUACUAAAGCUACGUCCUAGCAAUAUAGUAAACGCAUCUGCAAGCACAAACGUUAGUUUAAAGACAACCGUAUGGCUCCUGCCGUUUGCCGUACCAUCGACGUGCAAGUCGAUAUUAUCUAUUACAACAUGAUCAUCUCAUACAUCCAAUAUAUCACAUCACAUCGUUGGCCAUAUCACAUCACAAGCAUACCCUGCAAAAACAAGUUAGACGUCCUCUAAUUUUGUUGUUGCAUGUUUUACGUGGUGACCAUGGGUAUCUAGUAGGAUCGCAUCUUACUUACGAACACCACAACGGAGAUAUAUGAAUUGCUAUUUAACCUUACACAAGGACCUUCUCGGUCAAAUCCGAUUCAACUAAAGUUGGAGAAACUGACACUUGCUAGUCAUCUUUGAGCAACGGGGUUACUCGUAGCGAUGAAACCAGUCUCUCGUAAGCGUACGAGUAAUGUCAGUCCAAGCCGCUUCAAUCCAACAAUACCGCGGAAUCAAGAAAAGACUAAGGAGGGCAGCAAAACGCACACCACCGCCCACAAAAACUUUUGUGUUCUACUCGAGAAGACAUCUACGCAUGAACCUAGCUCAUGAUGCCACUGUUGGGGAACGUCGCAUGGGAAACAAAAAUUUUCCUACGCGCACGAAGACCUAUCAUGGUGAUGUCCAUCUACGAGAAGGGAUAUUCGAUCUACGUACCCUUGUAGAUCGCACAGCAGAAGCGUUACUGAACGCGGUUGAUGUAGUGGAACGUCCUCAUGUCCCUCGAUCCGCCCCGCGAACCGUCCCGCGAUCACUCCCACGAUCUAGUGCCGAACGGACGGCACCUCCGCGUUCAGCACACGUACAGCUCGACGAUGAUCUCGGCCUUCUUGAUCCAGCAAGAGAGACGGAGAGGUAGAUGAGUUCUCCGGCAGCGUGACGGCGCUCCGGAGGUUGNNNNNNNNNNNNNNNNNNNNNNNNNNNNNNNNNNNNNNNNNNNNNNNNNNNNNNNNNNNNNNNNNNNNNNNNNNNNNNNNNNNNNNNNNNNNNNNNNNNNUAGUCACCCAGUUACGUUGCGACGUUUGAUACACACAAAGCAUUCCUUCAGUGUCAGUGAGUUAUAUGAUCUCAUGGUCAUAGGAACAAAUACUUGACACGCAGAAAACAGUAGCAACAAAAUGACACGAUCAACAUGCUACGUCUAUUAGUUUGGGUCCAGUCCAUCACAUGAUUCUCCUAAUGAUGUGAUCCCAUUAUCAAGUGACAACACUUGCCUAUGGUCAGGAAACCUUGACCAUCUUUGAUCAACGAGCUAGUCAACUAGAGGCUUACUAGGGACAGUGUUUUGUCUAUGUAUCCGCACAUGCACUAUGUUUCCAAUCAAUACAAUUAUAGCAUGGAUAAUAAACGAUUAUCAUGAACUAAGAAAUAUAAUAAUAACUAAUUUAUUAUUGCCUCUAGGGCAUAUUUCCAACAGGAUUGACCCAAAAGACAUGAGGCAUUUGAGAGAUAAUAGCAUUAGUUUCUCACUUUUGAAAUUUAAUCAUAUAAAUGAGGUAGGCACAAAUACUGGAAAUGCAAGAGAUAAAAGAAUCAGCUUCCCCAGUAAGAAAGAGGUUUCUCUAUCCAAUAUAAAAUAAUUUUAAUGAUCCUAUGNNNNNNNNNNNNNNNNNNNNNNNNNNNNNNNNNNNNNNNNNNNNNNNNNNNNNNNNNNNNNNNNNNNNNNAACCCGAGAUAUUUAAAAGGGAAAGAAGAAAUUUUACAACAAAAUAUUUGGGCAAAAGAAGUAGCCUCCCCUUCACAAAUGUUGAUAGUAAGCAGAUCACUCUUGUGGAAAUAAAUUCUCAUGCCAGACAAGGGUUCAAAGCAAGAUAGAAUCCAUUUUAAAUACCUAGCAUUAUCGAUAGAUUUCUCAAGAAAAAGGAUGGAGGAUCCCAAAAAUCUUUGGGAAGGUCCUACAAGCUUCCGAAAAGUUCUCCCUCCCCCCCCCCACACACACAGACACAUGUCUUGGGGUGCAAAGCGUUAUGGCCCCUUAAUGGGUCGCUGACCUAGGAGACCUCACGAGGCAAGGCGCCGAGGAGAUGGAGUCUUGGAAGAACUCAUUUCCUAGGUCGGUCGAACCAAGGGGGCCUUCCUCCCCAAGUUGGCCACCCACCUUGGAUUCCACCUAUAUAUAUGUGGGAGGGCACCCCCUAAAAUACAUCAAACCUGUGGAGGAUUGCCCUCUUACCCUGCGCCCAUAUUCUCUCCUCCUGUCUAGUUGAUGUAGGCAGGGAGGCCACUAGGAUGCUUCUCUCCCUUACUUUUGGCUAUGGGGAGUUUUGUAUCUCCUUUACUUUUAUUGUUGGGCGUGCGUGUGCUGUUGUCCAGCAAACCUUGUACUCCCUCCUUUUCGGUUUAUAGGGCUCAUUUCAAAAUUUUCAGAUUUCCGUUAUAUUAGGCUCAUUUUGAGUCUAAUUGAGUUAAAGUGCUUUGAGUCCCACACCAUAUUUAAUUCAUAGAGUUUAGAGAAAGGAGAUGAGUGGCUAUGCAUGCAUCGUUUUUUACAUCCACCAUGCAAGUCCAAUGAAAAGGAGGAUGCUACAUUUAUUGUCUUGAAAAUUGAAUAUGUGAGACAUAUUUCAUUGCCUAGUUAAAACUAGUGCAUCCACUCACAAUUCACCUUGAUUGAUGAGAUUUCAGAUUUGAGCCCUAUAAACCGGAAAGGAAGGAGUAUUUUCUUUCUCGAACAUGCACCUCCUGUUUUUUAUGUACGAACAUGGUGGAUGCUUAUUUAUACGGAGAUGAUAAUAGGUAAUAAAGAUAUUGUGUUUGGAGAGGUAGAUAGAUAGGUCUUGCUCGGACCCUAGCUUUAUUGCGAGCCAAAACUGCCUGAAAGAUGAUAAAUCCUGAACCCUAGCUUUAUUGCGAGCCAAACUGCCUGAAAGAUGAUAAAUCCUGAACCCUAGCUUAAUUGCGAGCCAAACUGCCUGAAAGAUGAUAAAUCCUGAACGUUCAAAAUUUGCCCCUGGCAUCAACUAAAGUUGCAAUAAAAAACGUUAGAUUCGUCAUGGACAAAACCCAAAUGUUCGGGACUUAUUGUGCUCCUAUUUAUAAAACGAAACGGAAACCCAUUUUAAGGGAGCCAUUUCAACAUAAGAGAAACACCUCACAAUCUCAGAUUACCAACCAACCAGAGACUUUUAACACUAUGUUGCACGGUUAUUUCUUCAUGAACAAAACUUUUGACGCACCAAGCAGACAGGGAAGCAAAUGGCCUCUCAAAAAGUCAGUAUCCCUAUGGUCUGCACUUUGGCACGCAUGGAAUCAUGACCCGGUGCAGCAUAUCUAACAACCACCAUAUGCAACUUUUACAGGUCAAAGCACACAAAACAGAACAUAAUCUUUAGAUCCCAGCACGGCGGAUCAACCGCACCUAUUUGGCGGUGAAAAGUCUAGGCUCCAGUCGGGAAUAAUCAGUUUUAUGUCUCCAGUCGGAAUACUCAGUUUUAGGUCAUGCAUAUUGCUACAUAAUAAGGUGGUCACUUCCACAGUUCCGCGGUACCAUACUGCCUCCAUUCAUAGGAGCGGUUGUUGUCUGCCAUUCCGAGACUAGGCUAUCAUAGAGCCGAAGCAGCGAUCAAUACAACAUAUCCAUGAUCGGAAUGAUGUGGUAGAUCGUCUAACUAUAUUAUUGACUAGAGUUCAUGGCGAGGAGAGGACUAGCUAGGGUUGGUGGACCGGACACAUCGCGAUACCCCGUGAUGCUGCUGUCCUGGAGUGCUGGUUUAGUUCCGGGCUCCGGUCUCCGUUUCAGUAGUCCAGUGAUGGUACGGAGGCCAUGCUGCCGGUGAGAUUCUGUAAGUCAUGGCCCCCAGAAUAACCGUCGCAGACAUCGCCCUGCGCCAUCCUCGCUCCAGGUGCAGAAGACAGAAGGCCUUCGCCGCCGCGGACCAUCCGCUGCACCUCCUGCGGCGAGAGUAUCUUGAUGCACCCUACGCUAUUCACAAACUCCCUGGGAAAGAACGGCGUUCAAAGAUGUUAUGCACCAAGAGGAGAUUGAAUUUAUUGUAUGUGCAUACAACCGGAGAUGGUUUUUCUGGGUCACUUACUGCCAUGGGUCGUCGCCAACGAGAAGAAUAUCAUUUUCUCGGUCGACGAAUACAAGCUGCCAGCCUGAUCUUACGGGGUCCUCCAGUUGGCCUUCCAGGCCAAAUAGAUGCUCCAGCUCACUACGUAACUCAUAGUAGCUGCUGAAUUUGGUGAUGUCGAGCGAUCUUCCAGGGGACCCUGAUUUGCAAACCUAAUAAAACCAACAUCAAAAGAAUUCAGCCUUCAGUUCAUGCAGAAGAACUAUGCAUAAUAAGAUGGAUUAGCAGGUAACUGUGUGUUGGCACUCGUCAAAAUGGUGCCAUUGGUGACACAAUAAUUGUGCUCAAGAUAAUGUAAGACUUCACACAAAACUUUAAGAAGUACAGUAACUGAUACGAACUCUUUGCCUCUUAAGCCCACUUAAUAUGAACUCUUUACCUCUUGAGUCAUCAGAUCCACAUUACCUCUCAAGUCAUCAGAUCCACAUUACCUCUUAAUUCAUCAGAUCCACUUUGAAGAAUAUGCAUUGAAGAAUUAAAGAACAUAAUACAUAAGUAGAAAACACAUACCUUCACAAAGAUACCAUCUUGUGAUGGGUCUACACCACACAUAUUAUCAAGAGAGUUGAAGGUUCCCGAUUCGCCUAAACAACUCGAAGUUGCUAAGGUGUCUGCGGGUGGCAAAUCUUCGCCACUAUACCUCAACAAAGGUAUGGCCAUAGAAACAGUUCCACUGCUGCUGCCACCCCUUGCACCUGCCAUUCCGUCCUGGAAUGCAAAUGAUGAUGAAAGAAAGUGGUUGUCAACAUUUGCAACAUAAGCCUGGACACUGGAUGAGUCUCUUGCUGACUGUGGCGCCAAGGUGCCAGCAAAGUGGGAUAUAUUACUCUGGUGAUUUACAUUCUCAUGUUUGGGUUGCACAGACCGAGAUUCAAUAUGACCAAGGGGUUCCACAGCCAACCUCUUUGAAGGCCAUCCCUCCGGCGCCAUUAAUUGGUCAGUUCGAGGCAAACUGACAAGGUUUGAAGCAUCUUGGCUAGAGAAGUUACGGAAACCAUUGUGCAGAUGCAUCGAUGGAUCAUUGUUUCCUUCUAAGAGGUUCUGCUGGUAGAAUGGAGGUUGUGACUGCGAAGCAGACUCAGAACCAGACAUGCUAGAAUCUACAUCUGAAAUACGAUGACAACCAGAUGAAAGCUGUUGUUGCAUCUCCUGGUGAGAUUGUUGUAUAACCUGAUGCCCUUGCUGCGAUGGUGCCGGAGGAUUAUGCAAAUGCAGCUGCUGAAACUGACUUUGAAGAAACCCAGGAUUACCACUGUACUGACUAUGGCCGUGCUGAACAGUUUGCAGAGACGACUGCUGAGCCUGAUACUGCAUCUGCUGUAGAACAUGAUUGGCAUACACAGAAUUCAACCCACCGUUCGGAUUCUGAGUCUGUUGGAAUUGCAAGAGAGCUGAGGACUGUUUCGAAGGAUCCCCAGUUCUAAUCUCUUCCAGUGCUGCUGCAGCCAUUUGCUGGUAUGUGUCUGGCUUAAGACCCAACAAUGGAGAAUCUAUUCUUGGCUGAAGCCAAGGUGACGCUCCAACUCCCUGGAAGUUCAACGACUGAGCCCCUCUAUCCCCAUCACCGAGCCACAUGAGAGAAGAAUAACGAGCAAAAUCAUCAUUCUUGACACCUGAGCAUAUAAUACAGAACAGAACUUGAUUAAAAGAACGCUUGGUUGAAUUAUACAAGCAGAACCACGUAUACUGCUAUUCUUGUCAUUGAUCAGCCUACCAUUGAACAUGCCAUGCAUAGAAGGCAGCCCUGAAGCCCAUGGACGCUUCAGUCUUAAAGGAAAAGCAGUUGGAUACAUCGGAAAGGUUGUCAAUGGCUCAAUCUCCCAGAGUGACACUCUAGGUUGUUUCUCACCAGCGGUGGACUCGUCCCAACCAACCUAAAACAAAUAAAAUUUCAGCCAUUACCAUUUAAGGUUGAACAUGUUCUCACAAAGGAAACUGUGAAGCAUGCAGCAACAGAGUUAAUAGGUUGAGGUGAAUAAUGAAACAAGAUAAGAGCAGGUACUCUGGAAUCAUGACAUAAUUACCUUGACAGAACGCCAGUGUGAAUUUGGCCAACGUGCAGAGUCAAGAUCACUUAUGGUUGUAAUUGUACCCAUGUAUCUGAAAGAAGAACAAACUGUCAGCUCACAGUUUUCAUGCUGUUACUCGGUUCAAUUUUUGACUUACCGUCUGACACUUGACUCCUCUGUCUCAAAAAGCAUUCUAAACCGCAUUCCAACAGACACACGUGUGUGAUAAACAGAUUUGACAUACUUAGCCAGUGGAAUGAUGAACUCAGAAGGGCUAGCCCUGAUAAAAGGCAAACAUGUUAAUUAGGUAUAGAAAUAUAGUUAUCUAUUAGUUGAAUUGGGAUCAUGAUGAAUAUACCGGGGGUUAUAGAAAAUAGUGAAACGACUGUUUGUGGCCGCAGCAUGAGCUGCUGCUGCAAGAAGGCCUAUAUGCAUGCUGUCGCUUGACAGCACAGAAGACGGCAUAACUGUCUGAGGACGAUUUGCAUGACGAAUCCCCAAGAGAAGUUGGUUAUUAUCAUUCCUGGAAACAUGGAAAAGUGUUAUGUGUGAUCAACGUGUAACACGAACAACUAGGGUAACAGUGUAUGGUUAGGAAAUAUAGUUGUCGGUACCAGAUGAAAAUAACAGAAUCCCCUGCUACUAGUCGCUUUGCACUUACAAAGACACUCCAACCUGUAGUCAGGAGAUGCCUUUUUGGCUGACCUGCAUAACAAGUGCAAGGGCUAAGAGCACUGGUCAACUAAGAGUCCAAUAUAUCCCAGAACAAAAUUAAAUACAUCAAGAACUCUGCAACAUGGGAACUAUUUUAGAUGGAGUAUUAUCAUUACAAUGUUUCCCAGAGAAAUUCCCCAGGCAAGCAAAACCCUACUAAGUCCAGCUGGCAGAAGGAAAUGACAAUUCUACGGACUAACAAGAAGGUCCUAGAACCUUCUCAUCUAAAAGUUGCACAAUAUACUUUUUGCUAGUCUUUCUAGGAUUCUUAUAAACUACUAUCACCUCCGUUCCUAAACAUAAGUCUUUUUAGAGAUUUUAUAAUGGACUACAUACGGAGCAAAAUGAGUGAAUCUACACUUUAAAAUAUGUUUAUAUACAUCCGUAUGUAGUCCAUAAUAGAAUCUCUAAAAAGACUUAUAUUUAGGAACGGAGGGAGUAGCUUUUACUUGAUCAAUAAUAAUCAUUAUCAUCUAUGCACAUGCUGCACAUAAUUUGAGAUUACUAGUACAUACCACGAAAUAUGUGGCGAAAUUUCCAUUCAUUGUCAUGCAGAUCUUUUGCAAUGAGCUCCUGGCAUGGAGGCUGCAGAGAGAAAUCCUGUAGAAAAUUGAACAUGUCAUUUAUCUAAUUAACCCAAUUUAAAAUGAACAAAAUAUGACCAUUUCUUAUAAAUGCAAUUGAGAAAAACAAACUAAAUUUCACUGGACGUUACCAAUGGAGGGAAGACUUUCUCAGCAGAACGUCGAGGAACAGAAAAUCCGCCAUGUGUACUUGUAUCACUUGCAGUCAAAGUCUUGCAGAAGUAAUUAGUCGGCUGCUUGCUAGCAGCACCCAACUCGAUUGGAAGAAAAGGCUCCUUUUGCUCUUCCUGUUAUCAGAAUUAUAAUAAUUAUUUCGAUAUUUUAACCUACAUAACCUGUUAUCAGAAUCCAGGCUACAAGAAGAGAGAAAUGUGAUUAAUACCGGGCUCAACGGCUGCAGUGUCAUUUGGGCAUAAACUUCAUCAGUCUCUGCAUCAGCCUGCAUUAGCAUCAAGAAAUGAUCUCACGGCACCUCUUAGAAAACUACAUGAUGGUCCCUUCUAUGUGUGAAGUGUAAACUUACAUGCAUCGUGACAUUAUGAAGCUGGCAGAUCAACUGAGGGGGGAGAUUUGGAUAAUUAGGGAUUUGAGCAUCAACCUCCUUAUUAGUUGAUGCGGCAACCUACGCAAAAGUAAAAUCACUUUAGAGAACUGCACUAAAAAUGGCUUUAGAAAACUGUAAUUGGACAACAUCCAUGCAACAAAAUCGAUUCUUCACAUAAUGACACCUUUAAUUUUUCACUAAAGCUAUGUCUCAGUAGAAUCGCAAACCGUAUGAUGUUUACAUGCUGCAUUGUGAAAAGAAUAAGAACCCCCUGAGCACUAAGGGAACAGGCACAAACUAUACUUUAUCUUUAUCUUUAUCUUUUUGAAAAACAUAAUGUAUAUUGGUGGUACAAACCGAUAAAACCUACGGACCUGCUCACUGUGACCCUGUGGAAAAUAGAUGACCCGGCUUCCAACCGCGGGCAGAGACACAAGGGGCCCAGCGCAUGCAUGCCAUAGCUCCGAGUUGAGACACCUUUGCUCCCCUGAAAAGUGCCAAGCACACAUGAGCGAACAGAAACCACCAGAAAGCAAAGCUCAUGUGAAGCUGCUAUUCGUACUUGGGCACAGACAAGAAGUCACAACGGGGAGGAGGCACAGUGAGUAACAAUAAUGCCAUAUAACAUGAGAAGGAUAAAUAAAUAAAUAAAGGCAACCAAUGCAAGCAUUUGUUCGGUGCAGGCCAGCAAUGGAGCUACAUGUACGCGAUCAAUCAUGCACAAGCACAGGCGGGCUGAAUUUGCACGAUUUGUUCAGCGUCUUCAUUUCAAGCGCACGAUCAGAGCAUUCCACAGCCCAUAAAUAAUCCACUGGAGAUGCGGACAGGAGCACGAGCUGGGAAUUGAACGGCUGAAUUAAUGCAGACGAGAUGUACCGUCAUUUUCAGGCAGGGGCUGCGGCAUCUCGGACAUGGAGAGCUUUCUCUCCAUGGAGGGACGCGACCGACGCCGACAACACCGAACUCCGAAGCAGCUGCUCAGAACUGCGCCGCGCUCCCGGCAGCAACGCCCGACUUGUCCCACUGCGGCCAGAGCAGGUCCUCCAUCCUCCACCGCCGCUUCGCCCAACCUGACGCCACGAAGCAGCGGCCGCCUCGGGUUGAGGCGGGGCCCUAACCGAAGCCGGAGCCACCCAGGCAAACCCUCGCCAUUGCCGACCCCAGCGCGCCCGAAUCCCAGACGCUCCAACGGACCUUCAGUCCGGACCCGCCCGCCGAUCCAAACCUUCUUCUUCUUCCCCGGCGAACAGCGCCGACCCAGGAAGACGGCCCCUCAAUGCUCCGGAGCGGAUUCCACCGAGCACGGAGAAACCGAGGAAGGCAGCCGGCCCGAGCCCAUCAGCUGAGGAAGCAGAAGUAGCGCGGCUCGCGGAGGCACAACUCGCCGCUCACCGAGAACCGCGACCACUCGCCCCCUCGAGUCGCCAUUGCUCGCCCGGGACCAGACCACGGCAGGCCAGACCAGACCAGACCAGACCGGACCGGACCCCACCACCCGGCGGCCGAAUCGGACGCCGCGGCCACGGGGCGGGAGCUGGGCUCGCGGCGGAGGGCGCGUCGGCGCGGGCGGAAACCCUAGCGGCGCGGGGAGGGGUGGGGCUAGGCG
rnacentral:lncRNA from 1 species